rnacentral:lncRNA from 1 species
GUCUUUGCAAGCGUAGUGCAACUUGUCCAGCUCUGAAUCCAAGACAUCUCCAGAAACCAAGCGGUGAAAGUCGAUGACGGGGACAUGGAUUGAAGAACAAGUAGUGCUAGAAUCAGAUAAGAAUGGAGGGUCUUGCUCAGGACGCAGGUACCGUGGUGGAACUGUGGUGAGCGUCUUCUUUGCUAGCUCCUGCACACUAGGCACCAUCAGAGAGCCUCCAAGGCUCGUUAGUUUCUGUGCAUCCAUCAGUAAAGAGUAAAGACUUGUGAGACCACAAACUUGGCAGAUACGUGCGGGACUCUCAAGCCAUCGCCACCUUAUAUGCCUUUUUAGCUAAUAAUUGUAUAAGUAGAAAUGUUUCAAAUCUAAUGGUUUCACCAUGUAGGAGUAGGACCCAUUGGGAUAUAAUGUUAAGGAAAAUUGAGCACACAGGUGCUUUUCAACAUAUACUUUUUUUUCUCUCAUAAAAUACGAUGCCGUUUAUUUUCAGCAAUCUUAAGUUUGACCAAGGUUUGAACCCUCUAUAUAUAUAUAGAUAAAGAAAAAUAUUGCAGAUACUUGUGAAAUCAACCAAUUCAGAAUCCUAACAAACCGCCAUUGACAAGUGCAAAAUGCAUAUGAGUGGCGCUUUGGGAAGAAGAGUGAAAUGAAUACUAGUAAAGCAAGUGUUAGAAGGGUAUGACACAAAAUCGAAUGCUACCUUCCACUUUUACGGGGGAGUGCCGACCGAAAUGAAUAGGAGAAAGCAUUUUUAAUUAUCUUAAAUUCUUAAUUGAUAUGAUUAAUUUUGAUAAAACAACAUUGCAUUUGAUAUUUAUAUUUAUUAAUUCCACGAGAAGAGGUUUUCUUACAAAAUAAUGAGAAUUGUUAAGUAUAUAUAUUUAAUAUUCUAAAUUACUGGAAGAAAAUGCUAUGAAAUGGGAUGGAUAUAUAAAAUUUAUGCUUAAUUAUAAAUCCCAAUGAAAUGGGUUUUAUUUGUACCUGUUUUGUCUGGUCCCUAAUGAAACAGGUUUAGAAUUAAAAUAAAAGGAUUACAAGUUUAGAUAUUGUCUUGUUUCAUUCCAACUUGUUAUGAUUAUAUAUAAAAUUAGUUUUAAAAAAUAAUUUAAUUUAAUUUAAUUUUUUUAAAUAUGUAUAAAAUAAUAAUAAAAAUAUUUUAUUAAAAAAUAAGUUAUAAAAUAUUAUAAUAUUUUAAUUAUAUUUAUUUUUUAAUGCAAUUAAAAAGUUUAAAUUAAAUUUUAGAAAAAGCUUUAAAAAAUUAAAUAAAUAAAUUAGGCAAAUUAGGUAGGACAAAUAUGGAAAAUUCGUAUUUUAGCCUUACCACCAUUUAAUUUAUCUAUUAUGCUAGGAUGUGAAUUAUUUUAAAUAAAUGGGAUGAGGUCGUGAUAGGGAUAACAUAUCCCAAACCUGCCUCAUUAUCAUCUUUAUGUAAUUUGUAGAGAUGUAAAGAAAAGUAAAAACACAUCUACUAGAAUGAGGACUUGUGAUUUAAAUUGUCUAAUAAAAAGUAGAGAAAUAUCAAAUAUUUCAAGAAUCAAUAAUUAUACCAAAAAAUGGCUACAAUUAAAGUUACAAAAGACUUUUGAUUAAUAUUAAAGUCAGUUAUUUUCUCAUUGAAAUAUGAAACAUAGAGAGGUGAACAAACAAAGUUGUGACACAUGUAUCAUAGUGCAAGGAGGAACCCAAUUAUAUGAUGGGAGACUCGCAAAAUGGAGUGAAGAUUUAGAAAAUGAGUGUUAUGAUCUUAUUUGAAAAUAAUAGGUGCUUGUUUGUUAUUUCUUGACUCAAAAAUUUAAAUUUUCAUUGGAUUUUGUGCAAGCAAGUUUUCUUGUUGAUAUUUGAUUUGUAGUAAAUUCACAACUUUAACAAUGAGCUCUAAAGUUCUAACAUUUUGUAAAAAAAUCACAAUAAAAAUGAAGUGGGAUUUCAAGUGAAUCGUAAAUUUAAUGAAAUUAAGAUGAUGUAUUUAUCAAUCAAAUUGUGGCCAAAUCACUGUGAGAAACCAAUUAGCCAUUAUAAAACAUUUUUUAUGGUUAGAUCGCAUUAACUUUUAAAUAUGGUAUUUGAAUGAUGGAAUAGUUGCGCAUUGAGAAAGAUUUCUACUCGUUGGAUCAUGUCAUAAAAGAAAUCUAACCUUGGAUCGAUGAAGUAAGGAAAUGUUGGAUGAUUUUUCGAAAAAAAAGAAAAUUGUCAGAAAAAAUCAACAAUAAAUGGUCCAUGUUCCAUCAUAGUCAUCCAAUUCUAUUCCAAGGGAUUUUUUUUUUCUUUUUUUUUAAAAAAAUCUAAUUUUCACAAGUAAAAUAAACAAAAUUGGCCCAACCAACUCUCCCUCCUUGGUUUUGGGGUUUAUUCUAAAACAUUAUUAUUUAAAAAAUUAAAUACAAAAAAUAUAACACUUUUGAUUAUUUAUUUUUUUAUUACACUAAACUUAUUCUUUAAAAAAAAAAAAGGUUUUUUUUUCCAUAUUAAACUUGUCUUUUUUUACUUGUUUUUCUAUUCAUCUUUUCAAAAAUCCUAAAACUCAAAAUCUUAUCAUUAUUUUUAAUAUAAUGAUUUAAAAAAAAAAAAUUUCCAAAAUUUUGUCCAUCUUGCAAAAUACAUCUAUCCUUAGAUUUAUAGAUUUUCAAUUAUUUCAUAUUCUUUUAUUUGAGAAUUUUGAGCAUAUAUAUGGUAUGUGGAGUACUUCUCUAAUGUCCCAUGUAGUAACAAAAUACUCCACUCCACAUCGAUAUACGUCCUAUUGUUAUUUUUUAUUUUUUUUCUUUCUUUCAAAGAAUGGCAGAUUCAAAUCAAUCCUGUGACAUACAAAUUAACCAGAGUAACACCUGUGACUCCUUCGAUUUGUUCUCUUCCGCAAAUGCAUGUAUUAAAUCAUCCUCUCCUAGCUAAUCGUGACAGAAAUAAUUACAUUCUUUGAAAAACAUAAAUGGAGAAUGUAAUUUUUGCAAAUGGCUUUGAAGAUUACAUUGAAGGGUUAAAAGUUUGCCCUCCUAAAGAAACAAGCUUCGGGAACUCCAAUCCAGAAUUCAUCCAGUGGAGACGCUAUGAUAGGAUGAUCCUAAGCUGGAUCUUAACUCCACACUGACUCCAAAAAUAAUGGGGCAAAUCAUCGAUUUUCAGACUACUCAUGCAGCAUGGACUGCUUUGGAACAAAUCUUCUCCGCCUCAUCAAAAUAUUGGAUAAUGCAACUUCGUUUGGAAUUUCAGACAACCCAAAAAGGAUCGUUUUCCACAAUGGAAUAAAAGGUAAAGCCUUGAUUGGGAAAAGCAAAGCCUUUGCUGGCAACACUUAGCUACUAGAGGAGAAAGAGUGUAAAAACUAAAAACACCCCUUGACCAAUCGAGCCAACCAGCUUUACCAAUUCUCCCCACCUUAAUUGGUUGCACUGUAAAACACAUAAAAAAAGAAGAAAAAAAAAAAGAAAAAACCAAUUCAAGGUCUGGAACCUUUGGUGACUUGUAUUUAAUUUCUUAAAAUAUUUUAAAGCAUGUUUAGAAAAAAAUUUGACAUAAGGUUUUAAUUGAAAACAUAAAACCAUCCAAAUAUAAAAUAUUUUAAAGCAAUUCAACUCUUGGUAUUUUAGGUGCAUAAUAAAAAUAAAAUACAUGAUUUCAAUGCACCAACAACCUUAUAAAAAGAUCUUACACAAAUAGAUCUUAAUAGCUCACUUAGCUACAACAAGAUUUCAUCAACAACUGAGAGUUGACUAUCAUGAUACAUCUAGUCCAGUGGUCAAGCCUAACACUAUGUGUCCAAUUCUCAAUAUUGCUAUUAGUCGUGGAUGGUCUCUACAUCUAUUGGUCAACAACGCCUUUCUCAAGGUGUUCUUAAUAUAGAAAAUGUAUAUAUGGCUUACUCCUAGGCUUUAUUAAUCUACAUUGUCUAUUUCAUGCGUGCAAGCUUCGUAAGGCUAUCUAUAACCUCAAGGAAGCACCAUGGGCUUGGUACCACAAGCUCCAUUGGUUUCUUGUCACCUCAAGAUUUUAGAAUUUUCGUGUUGAUACGUCAUUAUUUGUCCUCAACCUUAUUUGAUAAAACUAUAUAUCUCUGUGUAUGUUGAUGACAUUAUUAUCACAAGUGAUGAUGCUUCCAUAGUUUAACGCUUUGUGAACCUUCUUGCCCAAUGGCUUUCACUCAAGGACUUUGGCUUUCUUGCUUACUUAUUGGGUGUUGAAGUAAUUUUACACCAAAAUGGGCUACUUUUAUCUCAAUGACCAUACAUUAUGCAUCUUCUUGUCUGCAUUAAGAUGACUAACGCGAAACCUGUCUCCACAUAACUUCUUACAAGUAUGUCACAAACCUUUCACAUUGACUUCACUCUUUUUUAUCCAACUGAAUAUCAUGUUGUUGUUAGAAGUUUGUAGUACUUGUGUCUUACACGACUUAACAUAGCAUUUACGCUAAACAAACUAUCUCAAUUCAUGCAUCAACCCACUAUCGAACAUUAGACUUAUGCCAAGCACCUAUUGCGCUAUCUAUGUGGUACUUCUGAUCAUGACAUUUUACUUUACUAGAAUUCUCCAUGGGCUCUACAUGUUUUCUCCAAUGUUGAUUGGGUAAGCAAUAAAGAUGAUUUCUUAUCCACUAAUGCUUACAUCAUGUAUCUUAGACACAAUCUAAUCUCUUGGAGCUUCAAAGAACAACACAUAGUUGCCCAUUUCUUCAUAGAAGUCGAAUAUAGAUUUUUUGUCGCUACUACUCCCCCAACUUAAUUAAGUAUGCUCUCCAUUAAUUAAACUACAUGUUCGGAUUCCUCACACACUUAUGAUUUUUUGCGACAAUGUGUGUGCAAUGCAACUAUGUUCUAACCUUGUGUUUCACUCUCAUAUGAGGCAUCUGGCCAUUGAUUUUCAUUAUCAUAUUUAAAAUGGUGUUCUUCAUGUUGCUUGUGUGUUGUUCGAAAAUCAACUAGUAGAUGCUCUAACAAAACUGCUACAUCGUAGUUGCUUUCUUUCUUUCAAGGCUAGGAUUGGAAUCUUUGAUCAAAGCUUCACCUGGUAAAGGCGUGUUAGUAAAAACUAAUAUUUAUUUUUAAUCUAAAUAUUAAUAUUUAUUUAUUAUUAGUUUAAAUGAGAGCUGAAGAUAGACAUGUACUUGAAUUAGAAUACAAGAUAGAGCUUGAAUUAGAGUAGGAUAUAGACUUGCAUUUAAUUUAGAAUACAAAAUAAAGUUUGAAUUAGAGUAGAAAAUAGACUUGUUCUUUAUUUAAACAUUCAUCCAUCAUCAUUAAAAAAAAGCUAUGUUUUCUCUAUUAUCUUCUUUUUUUGUAUUACUACCAAGUCAUGCCAUUUAGUCAGAAACAUGCAUAUGUUGGAGCAACUUUCCAAAUUCUAAUGACCAAGAUAUUUGAGUGAUAGAUCAGGAGACAAGUCAUAGUGUACGUGGACAAUCUAUUGGUAAAAGGCAAAGAAGUAGAAUCACAAGUUAAAGACUUGGAGGAGGUAUUCCAGACAUCAAGCUCGGGUCAACCCAAUCAAGUGCACCAAGCGACUAAAUUUUGGGGUUUCAAUCUAUUUAGUAACUAGAAGAGGAAUUAAACUAUACCUUUACCAAAUUAAGGCAUUGCUUCAUGUGAAACCACUAACUAAUCAAAGAGGAGUAUAGGAAUUAACAAGAAAAAUUGCUACAUUGUCUAAAUUGGGAUCUAGACCAACGUAUCAUCAUGAAGCAAUCUUUGUAUCUUUGUACUUCUGAAGAAAAAGAGGAAUAUAAAGUGAUCAAGAAUUUAAACAACUAAAAGAGCACCUAUCAAGGUUGCCAAUUCUCUCUGCACCUUAUUCGGAAUAGGUACUCUAUUUAUCAAAUUGUUUUCUUAAUAAAUAGUACUAUUCUUUUUGGAAUAGAGGAUAGAGUGGAAAAGUAUGUCUUAUGAUAUUAGCAAAGGUAUGGUGGCAGAUAAGAUGCGAUAUACCGCUCUCAUUACCUUUGUUUUAGCACUCUUGAUUGUUAAGUGAAAGCUUUGACCUUAUUUUUAGGCCUAUUAUCGUACUCACUACCUCUUCAAUGAAAUGGGUACUCAAUAAGCUAGAUUUGUUGGGUUGAAUGCUAUAUGUUGGUCGAUCAAACUCAAUGAAUUUGAUAUCAUUUGCAUAUCACGAACCACCCUUAAAGGGGCAUGCAGGUACUACCUGACUUUGUAGCACAAUUCAGCGGGUGGGAGAAGUGGGAGGAAUGGGAAGAGCACAAGCAAGAUAUGAAACAAAAAGAGAAAUAACAGUUCAUGAGGGUGCUAUGUGUAAACGAAGCAUCUAAUUUGAAAAGUGUCCAUGCAGGAAUAUACAUGGACCAUAUUUGUCACCAUUAAGAAAGGUGUUACUCUAAGAUUUGAAGCCUCGAACGAUGAGGCCAAAUAUGAAGCACCCAUUCAUGGAAUUAAAAUGGCCUUGGCAUUGAGGGCCACAAAGCUCCAAGUCUAUGUAUCCAAUGCCACAUAAUUAGGACUACAGCAAUUUGAGUAAUUUUGAGUUGCAUGCAGUUAAUCCAGAGAAGUGAAGGGUAAUUAAUGACGUUUAUUAACUAGGAUAUUUCGGUUUCAUCAGUUCGACUACAUAAUUUUAUGCAGUUGCACGCUAAUUUUUAUUUUAUUUGCAUUGUCUUGGCUAUGCUAUCUUCCAAACUCUACACCAACAAUUAGGUUAUAAACUUUCUAGGCAACCUACUUUUGUAGUGUAGGCAACUUUUUCGUCAUAAUCACCCAACUAGUCUUUGCUGAAGAUUAGCUCAAGUUUAUUAUGACUUUGUUUGUUUUAAAUUUCAAAAACAGGUGUAACAACCUAAAUAAAUAUGUAGGAAAUAUAUGAAGAAUUUGUUAUUUUUCUUGUAUAAAUAUCUCAUCUCAAAUGGAAUAAAAUUGAUCAACUUCUCUUUAUCAUAUCUGCAGUUUUUCUUCAUUAUACCUGUAAUUUCUCCAACCAGUGGUAUCAAAGCCACAGUUAGUCUUAUAGGACCCGUGUUUUGAGAGAAAACCAAUAAAGUUCACUUCAUAACCCAUUUGAAACCACACUAGAAAAUGGCAACCAGCAGCAUCUCUUUGUUAGCUCCUCAAAUCUUUGCGGGAGAAAACUAUCAAAUUUGGUCCGUAAAGAUGCAAACGUACCUGAAAGCAUUUGAUUUCUAGGAAGUUGUAGCUGAAGACAAACCAAUAGCUCCACUUCCGGCGAAUCCUACCUUAGCACAAAUCAAAGCUCAUAUUGAUGAAAAGACCAAAAAGUUUAAAGCUAAGACUUUAAUCCAAAAUUCAGUUGCUAACUUAGUAUUUCAUAGAAUUAUGAAUUGCAGGACAACCAAAGAAGCCUGGGACAAGCUUAAAUUGGAGUAUCAAGGAAGUGAUAGAACCAAACAAAUGCAAGUGCUGAAUUUGAAAAGGGACUUCAAGUCUCUAACCAUGUAAGAAGAUGAAACUAUCACCAAGUAUUCUGACAGAAUUUCUUUGAUUGUUAACAAAAUCAGGUCACUUGGUGAAAAAUUUCCUGAUGCAAAGAUCGCGGAAAAGGUUCUUGUGACACUUCCUGAGAGGUUUGAGUCCAAGAUUUCAUCUCUUGAAGAAUCUAGGGACCUUUCACAAAUUUCACUUGUUGAACUAAUGAACGCACUCCAAGCACAAGAGCAAAGAAGAGCUUUGAGGCAAGAGAAUGUCACAGAAGGUGUUUUUCAAAUGCAGACCCUACAAUCUAAUAAAGACAAAAACUAGUUCAACAAGAAGAAAAGUAAAGGUAGAGAAAAGAACAGCAAAGAAGAACCCCAACAAAAGAAAUAUCCAACCUGCUCACAUUGCAAGAAGACUACGCAUCUAGAGAAAUACUGUUGGUGGAGGCUAGACGCAAUGUGCGACAACUGCAAACAGCUUGGGCAUGUUACCAAAGUCUGCAAAUAUAAAAAUAAAGGUCCAACAAGUACAAGUUGCUAAUGCAGAUUCGUAGGAGGAGAAACUCUUUAUAGCAUCAUGUUUCUCAAGUCAAUACUCUUAUAAUGCUUGGCUCAUUGAUAGUGGAUGCACACACCACAUGUGUCAUAAUGCUACAAUAUUCAAGGACCUUGACAAAACCUACAACUCUACGGUGAAAGUUGGCAAUGGUGGAUACGUGGAUGUCAAAGGAAGGGGCAGGAUUUCUGUCAAAACAAAUUCAAGUAUCAAGCUCAUCUCUAAUGUGUUAUUUGUACCUGAUAUUAGUCAAAAUCUAUUGAGUAUAGGUCAAAUGCUUGAAAAGCAAUAUUCUCUACAAUUCAAAGACAACUGGUGCAUCAUCUUUGAUCCUUAUGGAGAGAAAUUGCUUUGUAUGAAGAUGAAAAGCAAGAGUUUUGCCAUCAAUUGGGAGAAUGCUUCUAAAUAUGCAUAUGUUGGAGUUACUCAAAGUGUUUCAAACCUAUGGCAUAAACGGUUUGGACACUAUAACCAAAGGAGCUUAGUAGAGCUAAAAAAACUUGAGCUGGUGAAAGACAUGCCAAACGCAUCUGAUGAAGCUCAAAUAUGUGAGAUUUGUCAACAAGGCAAACAAGCAAGGUUGCCAUUAAAAAAUAAUCAAGCAUGGAGAGCCACCAAAAAGCUUCAACUCAUACACACUAAUGUUUGUGGUCCCAUGAAAACAACUUCUUUGAGUGGUAACAAAUACUUCAUUUUCUUUAUAGAUGACUAUACCAGAAUGUGUUGGGUAUAUUUUAUCAAACUAAAUCAUGAAGUUUUCUCUGUUUUCAAACAAUUCAAAGCCCUUGUAGAAAAUCAAAGCAACUUAAGCAUUAAAAUCUUAAGGUCCGACAAUGGUACAAAAUAUACCUCCAGUCAACUUGUUGAGUUUUGUAGUACUGCAGGCAUCUAACUUCAGCUAACAACUCCAUGCACUCCACAACAAAAUGGUGUCUCGGAGAGGAAGAAUCAAACCGUAAAGGAGAUGACCAAGUGUCUUCUAUUUGAGAAAAAAAUGCUAAGUAAUUUUUGGGCAGUGGCAGUUAACACCAUAUGCAAAAAAUGCCAAUUAUUUGCUGAACAGAUUGCCUACAAAAUCCUUGAAGAACAAAACGUCAUAUGAAGCAUGGUAUGGUGUCAAGCCCUCUGUUAGUCAUCUUAAAAUAUUUGGAAGCAUAUGUUAUUAUCAUGUACUAGAACCUAAAAGAAGCAAAUUGGAUAGGAAAACUCAAAAGGGCAUUCUCAUUGGCUAUGGGACAUCAACUAAGGGCUAUAGAAUAUUAUGUUUGCACAUUAACAAAGUUGUCUUGAGCAAGAAUGUAAAAGUGGAUGAAAUGACAACUUGGGAUUGGCAAAAUAAAAAAAAUAUGCAAUCUGAUGUCGGCUUCGAUAAUCAUGAAGAUUUUCAAACUUCUGAAUCCAUAGAUGAUUUUCCAGUGAGGGGCACAAGAAGCUUGGAGGACAUCUAUCAAAGGUGCAGUUUAGCAAUAACUGAACCAACAAGUUAUGUAGAAGACAAAGAUUCUGAAGCAUGGAGGAGAGCAAUGCAAGAAAAAAUAAAGAUGAUUAACAAGACUAAAACCUAGUAGCUUGUGGAGAGACCCAAAAAUCACAAGAUGGUCGAAGUGAAAUGGAUUUUCAAAACAAAACUCAAUCCUGAUGGUUCGAUAUGCAAGCACAAAGUUAAGCUAGUGGUGAAGGGAUAUGCUCAACAGUAUGGUGUUGAUUAUCAGGAGAAUUUUGCUCCUGUGGCAAGGAAUGACACUAUCAGGCCACUUUUUGUACUUGCUGCUCAAAAUUCUUGGCAUAUUCAUUAGUUAGAUGUUAAAUCUGCCUUCUUAAAUGGAUUUGUUGAUGAAGAGAUAUAUGUAGAGCAACCAGAUGGAUAAAUACUAAUAGUUAAAUUAAGGAUAAAAAUAUAAAUUAUUUAUUUUCUCUAUUAUGCCCCACAAGAUGGAGCUCCAGAAUGAGAGUCCAAUCUUGGUCUUUAGAUAAAGAAAAUGGACUAUGUAGUAUUGAGUAUUCGGUUAAGGAUAAACAUCUAAAUUAUUUAUUUUCUCUAUUAUGCCCCGCAAGAUGGAGCUCCAGAAUGAGAGUAUAAUCUUAUUCUUUAGAGAAAGAAAAUAGACUAUGUCUUUAGAGAAAGAAAGUAGACUGUCUUUGGAGAAAGAAAAUAGACUAUCGUUAGAGAAAGAAAAUAGAUUAUGUAGUAUUCAGUAUUCGGUUUCCGUGGAGGACGGUUUCCCUAAUUCUAUGGAGUGCAAUCUCCUUGAUUCUAUGAAAAAUGGUCUCCUUGAGUUUUUCUGGAGGGCAAUCUCCCUAAUUCUAUUCAAGGCAAUCUCCUUGAUUCUAUUAUAAGAGUGGUCUCCUUAGGUCCAAGAGCCGAGUGGAUUCGACUUGGUGGCUGAAAGAUUAGAUAAGAGUAGUGGGAUCUUCCUAAGUUGGAUUUCCAAAAACUUUGAGGAAUUUGUAAAAAUAAAGUUUGUUGAAGGAAGAGUAGGAUUAUGAGCCUUAUUUGGCAUCAAACUAAAUAAUGUUUUAGAAGCUAAUGUAGUAGAUGACAUAGGAAAUAAAGGAGAAGGUAGAUUAUAAGGUAGAUCUUAAGUAGAGGUAGAGGAACAUGAGCAUGUUUGUUUUCUCAAGACAUGUACAAAAAAACAAUCAAAUAUUUGAGGAAUCUUUUAAAGAAAGAGAGAGAGGUAAAGUUGAAGGUAAUAAAAAAGUAUAUGUUAAAUUAAGGGAACCAAUACUAGUAGGAAGCAAAGGAGAAGAAAAUUCUUGUAGGUUUAAACUAUGAAAAUUUGGAAAAUUUUGGGUUGUAUAGAGGUAUUGAAACUAGGAUAUUGACACUACAUAGGCAUAGCAAGGUCAAUACCAUUUGCAGUAAUUUACGGUAAGAGUAGGGGAAGGUUGUACACCUUCCACCCUACAUUUUCUCUAAAUCUUACUCCAAGUUGAGACUAGGAUUUAGGAUUUUUGAUACCAUAUAGAGAAAGAAAAUAUGGCAUAUGAUUUUCAUCAACGAUGAUGAAUAUUUAUAUACAAAUACAAUUGAGUUCUAUCAUAAUUCAAACUCUAUCUCUUACUCUAAUUCAAACUAAUAGUAGACUUUUACUCUAAUUCAAACUAAUAAUAAAUAGAUAAAUACUAAUAGUUAAAUUAAAGAUAAACAUCUAAAUUAUUAGUUUCUCUAUUAUUACCAGUUUUGUCUUGUACCUAGUGGAAUGGGUUUGGAAUUAAAAUAAAUGGGCUACAAAUGGGUUUGGGAUAUUUUUUUAAACCUAGCACAAGCUUGGGCAUUAUCUUGUCUGCCCCAACUCACCAUGAUUAUAUAUAAAUUAGCUUUUAAAAAUAAUUUAAUUUAAAUUUUUUAUUUUCUUAUUUUUAAUAUAUAUAAAAUAAUAAUAAAAAUACUUUUCAAAAAACAAGGUAUAAAAAAUUAUAAUAUUUUAAUUAUUUAUAAAUUAUAUUUAUUUUUAAUGUAAUUUUAAAAGUUAAAAAUUAUUUGUUUUUAAAAAAAAAAUUAGAAAAGUUAAUUAAAUAAAUAAAUUAGGUAAGGUGGGGCAAGUAUGGGAAAUUCACAUGUUUGUCUUGCCCCAUUUAAUUUUUUAUUAUGUCACGAUGUGAAUUAUUUUGAAUAAAUGAGAUGAGGUUGGGAUGUGGUGACAUGAGGUUGGGAUGUGGUGACCUAUCUCAAAUUUGUCUCAUUUUCAUCCUUAUCCUUAAAUAAUAUGCAUACAAGGAAAAGUUAAACACCUUUGUUGGAACAAGUCUUGUGAUUCAAAAUAAGGAGUAGAGAAAUAUCAAAUGCUCCAUGAAUCAAUAACUCCAGCAAAAAUAUGUCUAUAAUUAAAGUUUUAAAAGAAUUUUGGUUAAUGUUAAAGUUAGUUGUUUUUUCGAUAUGAAAUAUGGAAAGGUGAACCAUGAUCAUUAACUUUGAUUUUCACAUGAAAAUUUAAAAAUUUUAAAAAUAUGAACAAUAAAAUAAUAUGAUAAUGGAAUAACAUUUAUAAAAUAAAUAAAUAUUUUAUUUAGUAAGAAUAUAAAAAAUCUUAUAUCCUAAAUCUCUAAAUUUAUUCAUUUUGUAAAUUUGUUUAUAAAUAAUUAAAAUCAAUAAAUAUGAAAGGAUGAAGUAAUGAAAAAAAUUGAAAUUAAAAUGAUUUUAUGAAAUUAACACAUUAGAAAAAAAAAAUGGAGGUAGGAGAGAAAAAGAAAAAGAAAAAUCAUAUGAUAUGGUUGAUAGUAAAAAAUAAAUAAAUAAACAAAAAAAAAAAACAUGACAGAGGUCUUCGACUUGUCAUAUCAAAAUAAAAUUAAAAACAAAAAAAAAAAAUUGUGGUAGUUGGACCCACCAUGAGAGAAGCGUUAUAGGGUAGUUUUGAAAUUUUGAUUAUUUUUACUAAUCGAGCACAUGUUCUUAUAAUUAUUUUCCUCCAAAUGUAUAUAUUUUGAAACUCAAAUGUCAAAUACGUGAUUACAUGAUUCAAUUAUUGAUUCAAUAUUUUGCAUCAUCGUCAUGGACUUUGUAAACCACUUAAUCUUAUCAACUUAAAUGGUAAUAAUUAGAAAUGUUAAUAGGCAUAAAAAAAUAAAAUCAAAGUACAAAGUAAUAAAAUCAAAAUACAAAACAACAAGAUAAAAGUACAAAGCAAUAUAAUUACGUACAAUGUGUAGACCCUCAAUUUUGUCCCUUUAGCACAUGUCUUUAAAAUUCGUUUUCAGUGCUUCAAAAUAGUUCCUUGGUGGCCCAUUACUACUCGUACAACUUACCUUUUUCUGAAUCACCUCGGAGACUUUGGUUGAGGGAUUAUCUGACCCCUUAUUGUGACCCCUUGGCAGCCCUAAUUUAGACUUAGGCUUUUCAUGUUUUUUUGGGAUAGCCCUUAGAUACACUUGGCCCAUUAGGCACCACCCUAGGCCCGCUUAGUCUCAUCAUAGGCCCGUUUAGGCACACUUGGCCCAUUUGGACAUUUUUAGCGUGACUUGUAUGACUUGCAUGGUUACAUGGCUUUUGGGCUCGGCUUUUGUUUAUUGGUUUAUUUUUAUUUUAUUUUUUUAUUUUUUUUAUUUUUUAGGUGCGUGAUUUAAAUUUCUCUUGAUUUUCAAUUUCAUGAUAUUUAUUAAUAUUAAUCUUUAUUUUAUUUUUAUUUUAUUUUAUCUUUUUUUUUUUUUUUUUUUGAAUGAGGAAACGGUUGCCAUCUAUUUGGAGGGAAGAUCACCAAAAUUUUAGAGAAAGGAAAGUGACAGCUGCAUUAUUUUAUAAAGUUACCUCCACCAUGCAUAUAUGGAAGACACAGCCAUAAGGAAAAGGAAGGUUGCUGCCCAUAGAAGAAUAUAUGGAAACUUCCAUACAAAAAGGAUUUUUUUUAGAGAGAUGCAAUCUUCAUGGAAGGAGAUACAUGGAAAGCAAGGGAGAUUUUGAAGAUUUUUUUUUCGAAUUGGAGGCACGGAUAGCAAGGGGGGAUUCUUUGGAUGGUCAGAGAAAAAGGUGCACAGGAGGGAGAAAAGGGGGACUGGCAGACGCACUGGAGGAGGGGGAGAAAGGAAAGAUUUUUCAUGGCUUUCGAUGAGAAGAAAAAGAAUUGGUGUCCACCGGUCUUUGGGGGGUUUUGGAGAAAGGGAACCGAUCUCACUUGAAGCCGAGCAAUACUUCUCAAAAGCAGGUUCUUCCAGGUAUAGUUACAUGAAACUCACAUCUUCUCAUCUCUAUUUGAUUCUACAUUGUUUUUCUCUUUUUUUUGCAAAUCCCGGUAUUAUCUUGUUGAUUGGUGUGGACGGAAAGGGCCACAGAUUGUUUUAUUGAUAUUGGUUGCUUACUUGUUUGCCCAGAAUCUGUUUGUGAUAUUUUCCACUAGCCUGAGCCCAUUGAAAGAUCAUGAGAUGUGGCUCUAUUUGAUUUCUAUUAUGCCUGUUUGUUAUCUUCUUGUCUUCUCUGUUCUCCACUAUACGUUUUUUUCAUCCUUCCUCCUAGUUUUCUGGUGACUGUUUACAAACGUUUCAUAAGAGUUAUAAUUUUUGGGAGGAUAAAGAUAGAGAGGCCCUGUGUCAGAAGAAGUUCAAAGAAGCCAUCAAUGAGAAGGAAGUUGAUGUCCAUCCAGUCAUAGUAUGGAGCUCUCCGUUUCCCCUGUUGUUCAUGCUACAGUGGCAGGGUUGCACUUGACCUUCCUAAACCUAUUGAAGAUUUGAAGCAUUCAGCUAAGUCAGAUUCUGUGGUGCUCUAUAUUAUUGAAGAAUCUGGCGGUGACAUCUGCUGCUCUUUUGGUUGAGUUGUUGAGACAAUUAUUCCUGGAAUGAGAUGGUUCUCUUAAGCCAUUCGUUUGAUCCAACCUCAUGUUCAUUCAAUCAUUCUGGACAUUAAAGCUUCUGAUGUUGAAUUCUGAACCUUACUUUCUGAACUGAGAAACGAUGUUGUGGAAUAUCUACUUUUAGUUCAUGCGUGCACCAUGCAAGGCGAUCAUUUUGGUCUCAGUUUCGAGAGUAGAUGGACGUAGUAGUCUCAGUACCUCCAAUGGUGAUUCGGGCUCUUCAUCAAGUGAUUCAGAUCCAGGCACUUCUUCAGAUGGUGAAUCAGAAGGUGUUUCCUCAAUUUUGGCAAUGGCCCUGCUGAAGAUAGUUAAUAUGGUCUUAUAACGAGGACUCCCUGCUCCAUAUAGGAGGAAGGUCUCGAUUUGAAGUAGAAGAAGGCAUGGUUUAAUUAGUGACCAAGAGGUAUCUGGUUUUCGAAACGGCUUGGUCCAGACUUUGCAGCUGUUAGUGGAGAUGUCUGGCCAAAAUUGCGUAUUCUAAAUUAUUUGACUGAAUUGUGGGCAAGACAAUUUAUUCCUCUUAUGACAGAUUGCAUUAGAAGAUGGUGAUCCUUUAAAAGUCGUGAAUUCUGCCAUUGACCUCCACAAGAAGAUGAUUGAGAUGUGCUACUGAUGUUAAAACAGAACGGAUAUCAGAAGUCCUGUCACCAAGACUUUUGGCUUAUCACUUGUUGGUGAACUUGUCGGGACUUUCUGCCACCUCUCCCAUCUCCACGUCUGCAUGGCAUUCAUUAUUGCCAACAAUUCCAUGUACUCAAAUUCUGGAAGAAGACAGACCAACAAUUUGUGGAAAGAAAAAGAUCACUUCGAGUAACAUUAAUCGUUUAUGUCGUUAAUGAUCUGUGGUGUUCGAAUGAUGGAAAUGAUGGAAUUCCACGGGUUUAUAGUCUUAGCUGGCUAUGGAAAAUUAAUGGGUCACCCAGAUGUUGGGAUAUUUGAAGAGGCUUUCCAAUCCCUAGUGCUGGAGGAAUUACUGAUACAAGGCCCGGGUCAAAGAAUAGAUGGACUCGAGAAAAUCGAUAGCAGAUCAAUUCUCCAAGCUACGUCUAUCCCUACCUGCGAGUGAAUAGUUCAUUGAGUAGCCUCAAUAUAAUCUAGGACUUUAUGAAGGUUGUUUUCCAGUAACAGUCUUCUGAACCAUCAUGGCACAGAGUCGAUUUGGUCAUCAAAGACGAAGUGUUGCACUCACUAGCUUGGUCGAUUGGCACCAAUGCUGGCAAGUUUUGGAGCAUUCGUAUAAGCUUUAAAGAGCUUAUGAAAUGAUCUCUUCCUUGUUAGAAGAAACACCGAGAAAAUAGCAGACCGAAGUUUCAUCAAUGCCAAAAGCUUUGUUAUGUUAUGUGAGGAGAUCUUUGUCCAGAAAUGCAGUUUUUGCAGGAGCAAAUAAAAUUGCUUCCUAUAUGGGGCCCAUCUUAAUAACACACUUUGUGAAUUUCUUAUCCGGAAAGGGUGAUGAUUCAAGCUACUAUUAUGGGCUGGUUCUUACAUUGAUCUUGUUCUGGGCUGGUUCUUGCAUUGAUCUUGUUCAUGGUGAAGACUAUGGAAUCUCUAUUACAAAGACAAUGGUACUUAGGUAGGCAGCAGAUUGGCAUCAAAGUGCGGGCAACUCUCAUGGUAUUGGUUUACAAGAAGUCUCUACCGAUCCAGUAUGUUGGUUCCAAUAGUAGGAACCAAUUGAAAGUGAGGUUCCAACUAGUCAUUUGAAUGCUUCUCUAUUAUCCGAGGAAAUCAACGAACUAUCUGACGGCAAUUGUGAUAGAAGUGGAAGCCAUCACGAGGGAGAUAUUUCUAGUAAGCUUGGGGUAUCUUCUUUAGCUGAAUUACAUGGGGAAUCACAUACAACUGAAAAUAUAAAAUGUGCAAUUGGAGUUCAUGGGAAAGAUAUAAAUGCUGGAGUCCCUGUUCCAAUUUCCACUCCAUCUAAGUCCACUCAAAUUUGCAUUGGAAACGUCGUCUCCAGGCAGAGUGACAUUCAUAACUUUGAUUCAGAUGUUCUUGUCGUUGAGGUGUGGAAUGUGAAGUUGAGUACUGAUUUGAAUAAUAUGGAACAUGAGAUUGAUGGGUCCUUGCCUAUUGGUGAAUGAAGCAGAGAAAAUGANNNNNNNNNNNNNNNNNNNNNNNNNNNNNNAUUAGAAUUCCUGAAUUUUUCUCUCGUAAUCUAUCCUUCAAUGGGACAAUUCCAAUCAAGGGACUGGAUGGUCAUCAAUCGUCAGCUUCACCAAAAAGUUGCUCUUCAGAAUUCAUGGAAAGUUAUUGCAUGUUGGAGUCAAGCCAUCUGGUUACUUGAUGAAGAAGGAACCUGACUCCACUCUUGAGAAAAUAUUAGACAAAUCUACUGGUUACUUAAUGAUUGAAGAGUCGUAGGGUACUAUUAGUUACCUAUGAAUUGUUAAAACAGCAAGUUACCGUAGUGGUCAUGCAGGCUGGUCUACAACUGUGUGCCCACCUAAUAAAAGCACAUCCUCUAGCCUUGGAGUUCCUUGAAAACGGGUAUACGGUAGGGGUCUCUCGGAUGUUCAUCAGCGGCCUCAUCGACACCAUGUUCAGGCUAAUAAUGCAGUCUAAGGGUAUAGUUCUCAGAUGCUGGUUGUUCAAGUCAAUAGCAGUAAAGACUGCUUUGUAAAAAUCUGGAAAGAAAGAAUUUAUGUUCAAAGAAUAGAACAUUUUGGUCGUGUUUGGGAUGCAAAACUGGGGAUUAAAGAGGGCUGCAGAAAUGGUAAACAGCUUGACUUUCUGGUGAAGUUAAUGGUCAUCUCGCUGUCGAUAACAAAUCCUUCAUGCUAGAACAAAUCCAAAUAUUUGCUCACGAGGACAAAAGCCCUAGGAAACUACUUCAUCACUAAUCCAAUGUAUGUGUAUGAUUCAAAUUGGGACGGGUCAGAUUGGGCCACUGAUGGAGAAUGACUUCAACAUGGUGAUAGCUCUGUCCAGCUUCUUGUUGCUGCACCUGCUGUUAACGAUGCUCAAGCCAUCAUUAUAGCUCUUAUGGAGGAGUAUGAGAACGUUCUUAAUGGUGACAAUCUGCACAGAUACUUUAUUUCGACAGAUUCAUGGAUUGAAAAUAGCGGGAAUGAAGAUUCAGCAGAUGAUGAAAACAUAGAUAUGCAUGAGCAGAAGUGACCUAUUGAGAUUGCUUGUUUCGGUAUCAAGAACCGACUUCCAUCAGGAACAAUGCAUGCUAUCCUACAGCUGCAUUUUAUUCUUACCAGAACUCAUUCCAUCCUUUUUAAUUUUCUUGAUGAAGGAGGACUGCCCACGCUUCCACCUUUGCCAACAAGUAGUCCAUUUUCUGCAUUUGACAAUGUCGCUGCUACUAUAAUCCGCUAUAUCCCAGAAGUUCCUCACUUGGUACAAAGAUCACCAAAGAAGCUGAUCUUGGUCUGAAGAUUGGUCACAGCAAAGCGCUCUUGAAGUCAGAGGAUGUAGGUCAGACUCUUGAUUUGCCAAUGCGUGGGCUAUGGAGAGAACUUUAUAAAGAGUUGGCCAACGUAUUUGAUAUGGAGAGAGAGUUAAGAUGCUGAACAAUGCAUUCUAUAAAGAUGACAAGUUGGCAUUAUUCAGAAGGUAGUGGACUUUGUAUGUGCUCACACACAGCGUGUCCCAUUUUUGCAUUCCAGUUUGUCCCACAUCAGCAUGCUCGCCCAACCACUCUUCACAUCCUCAUUUUGAACACACCCUUUACUAAAAUCAUCAUCAACUCAUCCACCAAAUUCAGCAUCUAGCAUACUUCUCUCGGUUAUCAAUGUGGGUUGCUAUCAAAGUACCCGAAAUUGUUUACAUUUGCUAGUCGCCAAUCAUUCCGCAAUAGCUGAUUUGCCAUCCAGAUCACGAAGGUCCAGAAUUCCAGUUCUUCUGGCUGAAGCUAAGCGACAGUUCAGUUUGCGUUACGGCAAAGGCAUAGAAACCGAAGUUGAAAGGAUAUAUGUUUUGCAUGGUAUCUUCAGGGAAGACCCGUCUAGAAACACUGAUACUUCUGUGGUUUCUAAUGGCUGUUAGAUGUGAAUUGAUGUAUUCGGAUGACGGGAAUGCAACAUUGAUGGGCAUGUCAAUUUCAAACCUUCUGAGGAGAUAGUUGGAAGUCAGGGAUUUCUAGUUCCAACUUUAGAGACUAUUGAAUGCAAAUCGCCUCUAACUGAACUUAGAGAAGAGAAGGAUGAGGGGCAAAAUAAUAUAGAAUCAAUACCAUAAGUCAGAGAAAACCAGAUUCAGGUGACUGUUUGCUUCUAGAUCCAAUUUCAUAUUGCUGAUUUGUAACUGAUGAGUUCUAAGCCCGCAAAGAAAGUAAAAUCUACAGUCAAAGAAUGAAUUUGAAACUGAAGAUGAGAUGAUUGGUGAUAGAGCAGUAGGAGAUCAAAACCAUGAGCUUGGAGUCACUAAAGAGUUGAAAUAAUCAGUUUUUGUCCAUUAUACUUAUGCUUUUGAUGAUCUUCUUCAAAUCCUGCAGAACCAUUGGAAUGGUUCCGUUAACUUUCACAGAGGAUGGAGAUCAGCUUCCAGAUAGCAAUUCAAAUCUGGAUGAGGGGAGCUACUCAGGUGUAGAUAACUCAGUCAGCUUGUCUAUUUCAAGAGAGCUUCAAGAUGGAAUAGGCCAAAUUGUCACUCAACCAUUAACUACUCAAGAAAAUCUUGACAGCUCCAAAAGACAUCAGUAAUGAGCAGAUCAUCCAACUUUGCGCCUUUCAUGUAAUGGUUCUGGUUCAUAGAACAGAGAAGAAGCCUUCAGGAGGAACAAGAGGAUGAUGAAGCUAGGUAUCUUCUUGGCAGCCACACUCGAAAGUCCCGAAUACAGGAUCCAUCAGAAAGUCUCUAGCUCCCUGCCCAUUUGCCUUCACACACGUACUAAGUUGCUGAAUCCUUUUGACCGAGGGUUAAUUUCUGAUUAUGGGCAAUUUGAUAUACCUGAAGGAUGAGGAUUUAUCCAAGAACUGGACAUCUGAAAAUCAAUUAAGACGCGAGUAUGCAGUUGAAGAAAAUUGUUUGUGAGCAAGCUGACAAUAGAAACAGAAUUCAGAUGUUAAUAUAAGGGAAUUUAAUUCUACACAUUCUCAAACCAGAUGUGGACCCAGAAUUCAUAGAAGGUUAUUACAUGUUAGAGUCAAGCCAUCUGUCAGAAAUAUUUACAGUCCAUGAAUCUUCGCAUGAGAUUCUAGAAUUUAAAUUCAGAAAUAUCGGGAAGGAAGAUCUUAAAAGAGGAAACAGUGGCUGGUACAAAGAUGUCUCCUUAAGAAUUGUUGAAAGCCAUAUUCCAGAAAUGAGUAGGCAGGUUGGCUUGAGACAGUCUGUAAAAAGGCAAGCAUCCUUCUUCUGACCAAAAAGCUCCAGCUUCAACUCUCCUAUGUUAAAAUCAGUUUGCGAAAUGGUGGUCACCUUGGCAGCGUCAACCAUUCUAAAAAUGCUUCAAUGCUCCUGCCCUUUUAUUUCGACCCUGAACUAAGGAAAAUGAUGCAAAACCCAGAAUUUCAUUGCUUGCUAACUCCACCAAUGAAGACAGGGACUUAACUACAAUGAGCAACGAGAAGCUUAAAUGUUCAGGAAAAUGGCCCUGAGAAAUCAGAUAUGGAGAUUCCAGAAGUGAAGAGAAUUCAUAAGGGUGCAGUAGGCUGAAAAUAUUAAAGAGGCAGGCAAUGUGUCAAUCAUUUUUCGAAAAAAGUAAUGGAAGUUUGCUUCAGCAAAAGAAAUUCAAGAGUUGGGAUAUCAGACUACAGUUAAAUUAAAUAUUGUGAAACCAGAUUGGUUCAUGGCAACAACGAGGGUAUGUAUUCCAACGGAGCUAUUGAUUCAAGCCUUGAUGGUGAGUAAAUAACACCGGAUGCAGAAAUACAACAGUGCAGAAAAGUAGGAAUUUUGAGCUUUAUGUUCGGUGUUUGACCAAUGUUGGGGAGAAUCCAUUUGAGCUUACGGAUCAAGUUACCUUAUACAUGGAAAUGUUUCUGACCACUGAAUAUCCUGACGACGAAUUGGGUCCUUCUAUACCGAAUUCUGAGACUCCAUUCCAUCAUGGCAACCUUGCUAUACACACCUUCUCCUCUAUUUGCUUCUUUGAUUGAGAACUUACUGUUUUAAAUUGAAUUUUUGAACCAUUGUUCAAUUAAACACUCCUAGCUUUGAAAAUUUCAUCUUAGAUCCUUUCUAGGUAUAAAAUCCAUAUUCUAACACACUUUUGCUGCCAUUUUCCUCUAGGCAUGCACUUUCAUUGUUUUAUCCGAUUUUUAACUAUUUUCAUGAUUUUCACGAUUUUCAACAAGCAUGAAUAAACUUCAUAAUUCCAAAUCAUGGAAUUUAUGGAAUCAACUCAUGCGAAAUUAAUUAGGGCUUUGGUGGGGGCCCGACAUUCAUGAUAUUCUCAUCAAUAUUGUUUGCUUGAUAUGUUGAUUCUUUUUCUUCUUGAUGAUAUUCAUGAAUUCGUUUUAUAUCUAUUAUUGAGAUAUCCUUGCUUCCCAUAGAGAUGUGGAUGCUUGCUAAUCAGGUACGCCAUUUCUACCCCACAACCCUAAAAUUCUAUGAAUAUGUACGAUAUCAUGAGCCAUGACCAUGUUCGAUACCAUAUUUGAUUGUCUUGAUGUUUGUUUGAUCAUCUUUGAUAAAAUACAUGUAAUGUGUCAUAUUUCCAAACUAAUCUCUUAUGUUUUAUGAUAGCGCUUGAGAAGCUGUUCAGGUACGCACUUCGACUCUCUCUUAUGGUUUGUUUUCUUGUUAGGCAUGCAAUAUUUGAAAUCACCUAGCCUACUUAGGUAUCCAUAAUUAACUGACUAAUGGCCACACUUCCCUUAAUUUUGUCAGUAGAGACCUUUAUAGGGCUUAGAGGGGUGCUACCUCCUAGAGGUACCUUCCCAAUAAGUAACCUGAUCCCCGAACCAAGACUUGGGUUUUCAAAGACACGUUUUUCCAAAAAUUAUGGAGUCAUUUUUUUUAGGGUUUUAUUUCUUGUUUUAUUUUCCCUUCAAAAAUAAAAAUAAAAUAAGUGGCGACUCCAACUUUUUUUAAAAUCAAUUUUUCACAAUAAAAAGCGAGUCUCGCCGAUCGAGUGGGGACGCACGUGAAAGAUGCGGAUCCACAAAUUGGCGACUCCGCUGGGGAUUUUGAGGAUCAAGCUUGAACACGAGUUAAGGAAAAUGUGGCGUUUAAUUGGCCGAUUAGUGGAUACCUCUCUUUUUAGGCAAGGUGAUUUGAUUUGCUAUCUUAACAUGAUUGAUUGCCUUGGAUGAUCACUUGAUUGUUUUGCUCACUUAGCAUGAUUCACUCUCACAUAUGUUCAAUAGGACUUUGUUUGUUUGAUAUUUAUUUGAUUCGCAUGACUGUUUGAAGUGAUCACUUAACUCUUUGUUCACUUUAGCAUGAUUCACUCUCACAUAUGCUAGAUAGGACUUUGAUUGUUUGAUAUUUAUCUGUUUUGCAUGGUUGCUUGUUGCAUGACAACCCUUUCUCUUGCAUGUUUGUAUGAUUGCUUGUCUUCAUUCACUAUCUCACUUUAGAUCUUAGGUUUUUCGGAUGCACCCACAUCUUUCAUUGUGCACCUUAGAUUAUCCCUGAGUGUUGAGAGAUGGGAGAGCCUUCACCAUUAAGAAACCCCCUGGGAACGCGAGGAAGUGCAUAUGUGGAGGUGAUGACCACCUUGCAUGGAAGCACCCCGUCUCCUUGGAGGCGUGCAGAGGGUUGCGUACCGCCGGAGGGUACGAUCGCUUCUGCUAGGGAUCCUUUAACCCACCCAUCUUAUCUUAUAGAGCCACCUCAACCUUGUAGGUUAGCCUAGACCCAAUUAAGAUUUCAUUCCUACACGUGGGUGCAUCUGUGGACCUUCAGAACUGCCUUGGUCAUAAUUGGGUUCAGUUAUCCUCUUCAUGGUUUCCUUUUGGUGUGCUCAGAGAUUGGUACAUGUUUGAGUCUCAGUUGGGCCACCUUUCUGGUUAGUGAUUAGUGUGUUUCCACAUCUUCUGAGUUUUCUUCAUGUCAUUUAUCUUUUCGUGCCUUUGUACCUUAUAGGAGUGUUAUUAGUUUCAGUUUAGAUUCGACUUCUUAUAUAUCCGAGUUGGAGAUAGAUUGAUCAGGGUUUCAAAGCAGUCAGGUAUGGAUCUUCAGCAUGUUAUAGUUGAUUGACUUGUAGUCACCAUGACUCUAUUCAGGAUGCACUAGCAGGUUUGAGCCAGAUGAUUGAUGGACAGUGGUAUAGAUAACAUCCAGUUCAGGAUGAGAUGUCGUAUGAUUCAUUACCACCCACCCCCACUACCCAGUUAGCCAGUGACAUUGUUGAGGGUGACUUCGUACAUAUGAUGAGUUUAGUGGAUUAUGAGUCAAAGUUUAUCAGAUGAGAGUUCUUAUAGAGGACGUUAGUUUUUCUCAGAUGAGAGAUUUGAUUGACAUGGUUUUCUUCAUGAUGAGCCUGAGAUAUAUGUGUUGGAUGAUAGUUGGAUGACUAGCACAGAUUAGCUAGAGAUGGUUCACUCUCUUGAUAUGCUUGAGAUAUUCAUUGUUGAGAGUUCAGGAGAGAUUCGAUUUAUUUAUGUUGGGGAAUUCCGCUUUUGUUGAUGAUGUGUUUGAGGACGAUGUUAGCCCAGUUAUGAUUAUGGAGAUUCAUCUAUUCUAGGAGACCCUAGGGACUUACUUGGAGUACACCACUUGUCAUCCGAGAGUUGACUCCAGAAGGGGCUGCAUGGUUGACAGACUUAGAUGGAAACCAAUUUUUAGAGCCUACCAAUGUGGAUCAGCUGAAGAAGUAUUAUGUUUGAGACCGUGGUCGCAGGAUGGGUGGCCAUCAUUUCGGUUAGCCUUACACCUUAUCACCUUUAUUGAUAUAUUAAACCAUUGCUAGCCCAUUGAGCCUCACGUGGUAUGUUAUAGCCUUAUUUCUUUCUUAUAGCCUUGAUUACCAUUUCUACACCCGGGUUGGGACCCUUUGGUGUAUAUGCAUGCUUUGCUAUGAAAGUCUCAUGAGCUUUAGACUUAUAGGCCUAUCUUCUCAUUCUUGUCAUCAUCUCCUUAUCACCCCGUUUGUUUUAUUUUGCUAUCAUCACAUUUCCAUUCUCUUUCUUGCUUUUAUCAUUAUUUGCUUCAUUUUAUCUCUUCUCUUCCUUGGGCUGAUGAUUCUUCACAUCUUAGUGCAAAGAGGGCAGUCAUAUCACUCCAUUCAUCUCAUCAUUUGGCAUUGAUUCGGAGAUUUUAGUUUGAGAGGUUGUCUCAUGGGUUGGGGUUCAUGUAUUCAUCAGUGAUUUGAGAGAGUUUAUUCAUUUCUUGUAUCUUUCCCAUUGGAGUUUGACUUAUUGAUGAUCAGAGCAUGCGCCAAAAAAAAAAAAAAAACAAAACAAAACAGAAAAAAAGAAAAAAAAAAAAAAGAAAAAAGAGAAGAAAAAAAAAGAAAAAGCGCAAUGACAUGUUUAUGUAUGGUAUCUUGCUCCAUUGGGCACUUAUAUCACCUUUUGAGGUCUGUUUACUGGGUAUAUUUGUCAUUGUGGGUUCUUGUGAGAUGUUUAUAUGAGUUUUCACUCCUUGAGCCACUCUUAUUAGGCAUUUGGAGUGUUGAGGGUUCAUGUGAGAGUUCUAUGGUAUCCUAUGCUUCUUGGAUCAUGUUUGAUAUAUAUUAGGUAUGAGAGUUGAGUGACCUUUUUACUAAGGUCUCCGGAUCAUUGUCUUAUACCCACCAUUCCAUCAUUGGUGAUAUGACUUUCCCUUAUUGUACUGAUAUGAGUUGAUCAUCAUUCAUUCUACUUUCUUAUUGCCUUACUUUGUAUCUCCUCACCCAUUUCCAGAUCUUCGUUCCACUUUUUAUCCAUUUCCUACAUAUUGAUACACAUUUUGGUUUUGAUACCUUCUUCACAUCAUUCACAUGUUUCAUUGAUGGUUUGACUACUCAUCUUUCUCUCAUUUCGCCAUCAACAUUUCCUUUGGUUACCUUUAGGUCCAUGGCUCAUGAGAUUUUUCUAUGCAUUACAUCUUAUACACGAGGGUAUGGGUUUGAUCAUUGGGUAUUUGAGCCUAGUUUCCCUUCAUUUCUUUCACCCUAUCACCCUGGCCUACGUUACGUCCCGUGUCUUAAGACCACCCUGAGACCAUGAGAUCAGAUGUUAUCUUUGACAGCCUCUACUUAGGUUGGUGUUUGGGAUUUGGUUGAUAUAUAGAUGUUGUCAUGUUUCUUCUUCUGGGAGAUGCUUUUUUUAUGCUUGGAGGUGAUUUAGUGAUGGAUGUAGACGAUUGCUUCAUCUUACAGAUGAUAUUUGAUGUUGUCUGGCUUCUACUGUACAUCAGAUAUCCAUACUAGGGCAUAUUCCCCUUUCAUUUGGUUGAGAUGAGCCCCUAGUGGAGCACUUUCUUUGAGUCUGGGCAUUUUCACCGAUCAGAGAUCCCUAGUGGGGUAUGUUGAGAUUAUAUCAGUUCUAGUGGAGCAUCGUUGAGCCCCUAGUGUUUCCAUUUGCGGAGUAUUUCUGAGAUAGACUAGUGGAUUAUUACUGAGUUGGAGGCAGUUUUCAGUGCAGUGUAUAGAUCUGGCAUACUGGGACAUAUUUCCCCAUUUUGAGGUUACCAGAUUCGUGUUGGAUAUAGUCAGGGAUUCAUCAGAGACAUGUUUCUACUCCUAAGAUUACCACGUCCUUCAUCAUUUUGGCUAUUCAUUUGAGGUUGGAUUUAGAGUGUCUCCCUUGAGGCAUUGGUCGGUACUUCAUUCUGACUUCCUAGCAGAUUGUUGUUGAGCUGAGGACAGUUGAUUGAUGAUGUUGGAUUCACUCUUUGGUUGUGCAUUAGAUAUUCACAUUGGGGCAUAUUCCCCCUUUUUCUGAGAUUCCUAUCUGUUAUUGGGCGGCAUGACUAUCUUUAUUCAUGGUUAUAGAGAUGUUUGGUUGUUUUUGACAGACUCUUUAUUGUGCAUUAGAUUAUCCACACUGGGGCAUAUUCCCCUCUCCUUGAUGAGAUUGUGUUUAGAUAGCGGUACGAGGAUGGAUGAUCGUUGUUAGUUUGUUUGCCUCACGACUUCGACGUCCGAUAUCCAUACUAAGGCAUAUUCCCCUCUCCAUUACGAGAUUUAUUUGGGUAGUGAUAUGAGGAUGGAUGAUUAGUGUCGGUUGAUUAGCUUAUGACUUUGACGUCAGAUCUUAUACUGGGGCAUAUUUCCCCCAUUUUCUUUGAGUAUCCUUGAGAUUGAGACAGUGGCCAGCUUGGUUUUAGAUUGAGCACUAGCCCAGAGCUUCCGAUGAUCGACUGUAUCAGGGCCUCCCUACAUGGAUUUGUUGAGAUAGAGAUGGAUCGCAUCAGGUUUCACCCGAGGAGCGUGGGUGGAUCCUUUAGCCAGAUGUUCAUGAGACAGAUUUGUUUUCAUCAUUGUUACCUUGCAGAUUGGAUUAUCCAGAUGAGCAGCAUUUUACGUACUUUGAGGUUUACUUUUAGAUGAGCCAUGAUAUACACUCUUUGAGAUUUACCUUUUGAGAUUCACCGACAGAGCAGCUUUUCAGAUAUAGAGGGUUCCUUCAGUUUAGACUUUUCAGAGGUUUGUCACGAUGCAUCAGUUUCUGACCUAUUGAUUUCAGCGGAUGAUUGAUUUACUGGUUGUUUCGGCAGUGUGAGCACCUUGGAUACUGGGGCAUAUUUCCCUUCUUGGUUUCAGUAGUCCGACCCUUGACAUUUUGAGUAUAUGACUUUGAGCCAAUUUAUUUUGUGUCCACUUUCGAGUUGGUCUUAUCCUUUUUCCCUUAGACCCUGAGUUUUAUAGCCCUGAGCUAUCCUUUUUCCCUUAGGCCCUGAGCCCGCUAGCCUUGAGCUAUCCUUUUUUUUAGGCCCUGAGCCUCGUAACCAUGAGCUAUCCAUUCCUUCUAGACCCCGAGUCUUAUAGCCCUGAGCUAUCCUUUUUCCCUUAGGCCCUGAGCCCGCUAGCCCUGAGCUAUCCUUUUUUUUAGGCCCUGAGCCUCGCAGCCAUGAGCUAUCCAUUCCUUCUAGACCCUGAGUCUUAUAGCCCUGAGCUAUCCUUUUCCCUUAGGCCCUGAGCCCGCUAGCCCUGAGCUAUCAUUUCCUAUAGACCCGGAGUCUUUCCAGCUCUUAGCUGAGCUUUCAUCAUUUGGUCGCCCAUGAGUGGUUUGACCUGGAGUUUGCGUAUUGCAUUCUCCUUCUAGCCGAUCAGUCAUAGAGCCCGGAGCUCAUAGCCCUGAGCUAUUCAUCGACCCAGAGUCAUUUUCCAUCUUGACCCAGAGUCAUUCUUUCCUAGUUAAAGCCCAGAGCUCUCGACCCAGAGUCAUUUUCCAUCUUGACCCAGAGUCAUUUAUAGCACCCCGAGCCCUGAGCUCACGACCCGGAGUCAUUUACAUCAUUCUAGCCACUUGUGAGUGGCCUCGACCCGACACCUUGAGUCGGAAAGUAUCCUGAUCGGCUAUCUAUUUAGAGCCCGGAGCUCUCGACCCAGAGUCAUUAUUUCCUAUUUUAGAGCCCGGAGCUCUCGACCUAGAGUCACUUUCCAUUUCGACCCAGAGUCAUUCUUUCCUAUUUUAGAGCCCGGAGCUCUCGACCCAGAGUCACUUUCCAUUUCGACCCAGAGUCAUUAUUUCCUAUUUUAGAGCUUGGAGCUCUCGACCCAGAGUCAUUCUUUCCUAUUUUAGAGCUUGGAGCUCUCGACCCAGAGUCACUUUCCAUUUCGACCCAGAGUCAUUCUUUCCUAUUUUAGAGCUGGGAGCUCUCGACCCAGAGUCGGUUNNNNNNNNNNNNNNNNNNNNNNNNNNNNNNNNNNNNNNNNNNNNNNNNNNNNNNNNNNNNNNNNNNNNNNNNNNNNNNNNNNNNNNNNNNNNNNNNNNNNCAGAGUCAUUUUCCAUCUUGACCCAGAGUCAUUUAUAGCACCCCGAGCCCUGAGCUCACGACCCGGGAGUCAUUUACAUCAUUCUAGCCACUUGUGAGUGGCCUCGACCCGACACCUUGAGUCGGAAAGUAUCCUGAUCGGCUAUCUAUUUAGAGCCCGGAGCUCUCGACCCAGAGUCAUUAUUUCCUAUUUUAGAGCCCGGAGCUCUCGACCUAGAGUCACUUUCCAUUUCGACCCAGAGUCAUUCUUUCCUAUUUUAGAGCCCGGAGCUCUCGACCCAGAGUCACUUUCCAUUUCGACCCAGAGUCAUUAUUUCCUAUUUUAGAGCUUGGAGCUCUCGACCCAGAGUCAUUCUUUCCUAUUUUAGAGCUUGGAGCUCUCGACCCAGAGUCACUUUCCAUUUCGACCCAGAGUCAUUCUUUCCUAUUUUAGAGCUGGGAGCUCUCGACCCAGAGUCGGUUUUCCAUUUAGAGCCCAGAGCUCUCGACCCAGAGUCGAUUUUCCAUUUCGAGCCCAGAGCUCUCGACCCAGAGUCGAUUUUCCAUUUCGAGCCCAGAGCUCUCGACCCAGAGUCGGUUUUCCAUUUAGAGCCCAGAGCUCUCGACCCCAGAGUCGAUUUUCCAUUUAGAGCCCAGAGCUCUCUACCCAGAGUCAGUUUUCCAUUUAGAGCCCAGAGCUCUCGACCCAGAGUCGGUUUUCCAUUUAGAGCCCAAAGCUCUCGACCCAGAGUCGCUUUUCCAUUUAGAGCCCAGAGCUCUCGACCCAGAGUCGCUUUUCCAUUUAGAGCCCAGAGCUCUCGACCCAGAGUCGGUUUUCCAUUUAGAGCCCAGAGUCGGUUUUCUAUUUAGAGCCCAGAGCUCUCGACCCAGAGUCGGUUUUCCAUUUCGAGCCCAGAGCUCUCGACCCAGAGUCGAUUUUCCAUUUCGAGCCCAGAGCUCUUGACCCAGAGUCGAUUUUCCAUUUAGAGCCCAGAGCUUUCGACCCAGAGUCGAUUUUCCAUCUAGAGCCCAGAGCUCUCGACCCAGAGUCGUUUUUCAUUUAUGACCCAGAGUCAUUUCUGUUCCAUUUAGAGCCUAGAGCUCUUGACCCAGUGUCGAUUUUUCACUUAUGACCCAGAAUCAUUCUUUCUGUGCAAAGCUUUGAGCUCACGACCUGAAGUUAUUCCCUUUUUGUGAUUGCGUCCCCGUGUUUAGAUCUUACCUCUUCAUGUGCUAGGACAAAAUCUCUGGUCCUUCUUUAAUUCUUCGGUAUAGUUCACUUCAUUCUGCUCAUUACUCGUAUUUCUACUCACAUUCUCUACACUCGUGAUCUAUACCGAAGAGGGGCAUAUUUGUAGACCCUCAAUUUUGUCCCUUUAGCACAUGUCUUUAAAAUUCGUUUUCAGUGCUUCAAAAUAGUUCCUUGGUGGCCCAUUACUACUCGUAUAACUUACCUUUUUCUGAAUCACCUCGGAGACUUUGGUUGAGGGAUUAUCUGACCCCUUAUUGUGACCCCUUGGCAGCCCUAAUUUAGACUUAGGCUUUUCAUGUUUUUUUGGGAUAGCCCUUAGAUACACUUGGCCCAUUAGGCACCACCCUAGGCCCGCUUAGUCUCAUCAUAGGCCCGUUUAGGCACACUUGGCCCAUUUGGACAUUUUUAGCGUGACUUGUAUGACUUGCAUGGUUACAUGGCUUUUGGGCUCGGCUUUUGUUUAUUGGUUUAUUUUUAUUUUAUUUUUUUAUUUUUUUUAUUUUUUAGGUGCGUGAUUUAAAUUUCUCUUGAUUUUCAAUUUCAUGAUAUUUAUUAAUAUUAAUCUUUAUUUUAUUUUUAUUUUAUUUUAUCUUUUUUUUUUUUUUUUUUUGAAUGAGGAAACGGUUGCCAUCUAUUUGGAGGGAAGAUCACCAAAAUUUUAGAGAAANNNNNNNNNNNNNNNNNNNNNNNNNNNNNNNNNNNNNNNNNNNNNNNNNNNNNNNNNNNNNNNNNNNNNNNNNNNNNNNNNNNNNNNNNNNNNNNNNNNNNNNNNNNNNNNNNNNNNNNNNNNCCAAUCGUUUGAUCCAACGUCAUGUUCAUUCAAUCAUUCUGGACAUUAAAGCUUCUGAUGUUGAAGUCUGAACNUACUUUCUGAACUGAGAAACGAUGUUGUGGAAUAUCUACUUUUAGUUCAUGCGUGCACCAUGCAAGGCGAUCAUUUUGGUCUCAGUUUCGAGAGUAGAUGGACGUAGUAGUCUCAGUACCUCCAAUGGUGAUUCGGGCUCUUCAUCAAGUGAUUCAGAUCCAGGCACUUCUUCAGAUGGUGAAUCAGAAGGUGUUUCCUCAAUUUUGGCAAUGGCCCUGCUGAAGAUAGUUAAUAUGGUCUUAUAACGAGGACUCCCUGCUCCAUAUAGGAGGAAGGUCUCGAUUUGAAGUAGAAGAAGGCAUGGUUUAAUUAGUGACCAAGAGGUAUCUGGUUUUCGAAACGGCUUGGUCCAGACUUUGCAGCUGUUAGUGGAGAUGUCUGGCCAAAAUUGCGUAUUCUAAAUUAUUUGACUGAAUUGUGGGCAAGACAAUUUAUUCCUCUUAUGACAGAUAGAUUGCAUUAGAAGAUGGGUGAUCCUUUAAAAGUCGUGAAUUCUGCCAUUGACCUCCACAAGAAGAUGAUUGAGAUGUGCUACUGAUGUUAAAACAGAACGGAUAUCAGAAGUCCUGUCACCAAGACUUUUGGCUUAUCACUUGUUGGUGAACUUGUCGGGACUUUCUGCCACCUCUCCCAUCUCCACGUCUGCAUGGCAUUCAUUAUUGCCAACAAUUCCAUGUACUCAAAUUCUGGAAGAAGACAGACCAACAAUUUGUGGAAAGAAAAAGAUCACUUCGAGUAACAUUAAUCGUUUAUGUCGUUAAUGAUCUGUGGUGUUCGAAUGAUGGAAAUGAUGGAAUUCCACGGGUUUAUAGUCUUAGCUGGCUAUGGAAAAUUAAUGGGUCACCCAGAUGUUGGGAUAUUUGAAGAGGCUUUCCAAUCCCUAGUGCUGGAGGAAUUACUGAUACAAGGCCCGGGUCAAAGAAUAGAUGGACUCGAGAAAAUCGAUAGCAGAUCAAUUCUCCAAGCUACGUCUAUCCCUACCUGCGAGUGAAUAGUUCAUUGAGUAGCCUCAAUAUAAUCUAGGACUUUAUGAAGGUUGUUUUCCAGUAACAGUCUUCUGAACCAUCAUGGCACAGAGUCGAUUUGGUCAUCAAAGACGAAGUGUUGCACUCACUAGCUUGGUCGAUUGGCACCAAUGCUGGCAAGUUUUNNNNNNNNNNNNNNNNNNNNNNNNNNNNNNNNNNNNNNNNNNNNNNNNNNNNNNNNNNNNNNNNNNNNNNNNNNNNNNNNNNNNNNNNNNNNNNNNNNNNACCAUAUUUGAAUUGUCUUGAUGUUUGUUUGAUCAUCUUUGAUAAAAUACAUGUAAUGUGUCAUAUUUCCAAACUAAUCUCUUAUGUUUUAUGAUAGCGCUUGAGAAGCUGUUCAGGUACGCACUUCGACUCUCUCUUAUGGUUUGUUUUCUUGUUAGGCAUGCAAUAUUUGAAAUCACCUAGCCUACUUAGGUAUCCAUAAUUAACUGACUAAUGGCCACACUUCCCUUAAUUUUGUCAGUAGAGACCUUUAUAGGGCUUAGAGGGGUGCUACCUCCUAGAGGUACCUUCCCAAUAAGUAACCUGAUCCCCGAACCAAGACUUGGGUUUUCAAAGACACGUUUUUCCAAAAAUUAUGGAGUCAUUUUUUUUAGGGUUUUAUUUCUUGUUUUAUUUUCCCUUCAAAAAUAAAAAUAAAAUAAGUGGCGACUCCAACUUUUUUUAAAAUCAAUUUUUCACAAUAAAAAGCGAGUCUCGCCGAUCGAGUGGGGACGCACGUGAAAGAUGCGGAUCCACACAAUGCAUAAAUCAAAUAUAAAAUAAAUGAGAACUUCCGUAACCAAACCCUCUUUUAAUAAUCUAGUCACGUUUUUCACAUUAUGAAACAAAGUAACAUAUGAGUUUCAUUAAACCAAUGAUUACAUGCACGCCAUCUACUACAUUUCUUUGCAUGUCAUAAUCCCUUCCUCAAUUGCGUCAUAUAUUUCCAAAAAAAGCUGUCAUUGCAGCUUUUUUUUUUUAUCUAAUUUUCCUACCUCUUUUGUUUUUAUUACACCAAUUCAAUUUGUGUAUGAUGAAAAUAUCAAAAGAAAACUAUGUUUCCAUACACUGUGUAUGAAAAAAAAACCAUAAAAUAGGAACUCAAGUUUAUAAAAUACAAAUUUCAAGUCGUUAUCUAAAAAUACUUAGCAUUUAUGUAUUUUUUUUUAUCAAAUAUAUUAUCUUUGACCAUUCAGGUACUCCUUUUAGUGAUAUAAGUACUACCUUCAACCAUUCUAAAUACACUACAUUUGAUCGGUGAACAUAUGAAACUUGAAUUAUUUUUACAGAGUUUCUAUUUUGUAAUUAUUUUUAUAUGAGUGUAUGGAACUCACUUUUUCCAAAUAUCAAUCUUGAAAAAAAAUAGUAGUAGUUAGCUAGCUUCACAAAAAUUAUGGAUGAAAAUUUUGCUAAAAAUAAAAAAUCACAAAAAUUGAUCAAAUAAUAUAAAAAUUUUAAUAAAAAACUUUGAAAAUGAAAGAGGAAUUAUUAAUACUUAUAUUAAGGUUGUUUUUUUUUAAAAUAAUAUAAGUAUAAUAAAAUUAUUCAUGUGGGUCUAUGAGAAGUAUGGUAAUUGAUCAAAAUAUAUGUAUAAACCUCAAAAUUUGUCCAAAUUUUUUAUUUUUACAUUAAUUUUGAACUCAAUUUUAUCCUUAAAUUUUAAAUCUUGAUUAUAAAUGAUAUUUUUUACCCACUCACCAUUUAAUUCUUAAUUUUUAUUAUUUUAUAUAUUGUUUUAUUUUAUUAUUAUUAUUAUUAUUAUUAUUAUAUUAUAUUUUUAUUUUAUUUUAUUUUUUUCUUCUUUUUAUUUUCUUUUUUUUCUCUCUCUCCUCUCUUCUCUCCCUUCCUACCUUCCCCAACCACCCCAAACCAUACCCCUUCCCCACUUUCUCUCAUCUCUUCCCUCUUCUCUCUUUUCUCCUCUCUUUUCUCAUUUCUCUUUUUUUCUUUUAGCUUUUUUUUCCACCUCUGACCAUACCCCUUCCCCACUUUCUCUCAUCCCUUCCAUCUUCUCUCUUUUCUCCUCUCUCUUCUCAUUUUUUUUUUUCUUUUAGUUUUUUUUUCUUCCAUUUUUUUAUUCUCUUUGCAGCCCUUCCCAAACAUUGCCACACCACACCUCGUCACCCACAUGUCCUCUUCUCCUCUCUUCAUUUUUCUACCCUAUUAUUUCUCCCAUUCUUCUCUAUCUUCUUCCUCCCCCCAACACCUACAUCUCCACCCGAACAACCACUUCCCAUCUUCAGUGGUCUCCAUCGCCAUUGUCGGUGGCAUGACGCCGGCGUCAUUUCAAAUCCCUUCCAUCCCUCAUUUUCUCCCAUUUUCUUAAUAUCUUCAUUUUUUUUUUUACUUUAUUAUUAUUAUUAUUAUUUUGUUUCCUAAAAAUCUAUCACCCCUCAUCGUCGUCGGUAAGACCACCAACCAGUUGCCGCCAACGAGCCAUUACCGACCGGCGACCCCUUCCUCUUUUCUCUCAUUCUCUCAUUCCCUCACUUUUCCAUCACACCCAUUCUCUCAUUCCCUCACUUUUCCAUCACACCCAUUUUUCAUUAUUAUUAUUAUUAUUAUUCAUUUUUCUUGAUUUGAUUUUAAUAGUAAUGGUUGUUUGUGAGAUUUGAAUUAUUAAAUAAAUAUGAAAUUUGAGUUUUGUUUAUUAUUAUGGAAUUUGGUUUAAUGUGUUAUUGGAUAAUUAAUAUGAAAUUUGGACUAAUUUAUUGUUGGUGAAUUAAUUUGGAAUUUGUUAAUUUGGGCUAGAUUACUUGAUAAUUUAUGUGGUUUUGUUCAUUUGAAUUAUUUAAUUUAAAUAUGAUAUAAUAUUAUGGUAUAUUUUGGAAGUGGGUUUGCAUAUUAAAUUGGGUUGAUUUUGGUUGUGGAUUUAGCUUUGCAUAUUAAAUUAGGCUUGGAUUAUGGGAUAUUAAAUUUAGGCCUAAUGAGAUUUAUUUUAAUUUAUCAUGUUUUGGAUUUAAUUAAUCGAGCUUAUAUUUUUGUUAUUAAUUUGAAAAUUUUAUAUUAGAGCCUAUGAGAUGUGAGAUAUUUUUGUUGGGUUAUAUUUACUAAUUUAGGCCUAUUUGAUUGACAAAAUUUAUCGGACUAAUUUGAAGUUUGGAUUUGGGCUCGAAUAUUUGUUUUGAACUUUGUACAUUUCUAGAUAUUUACAUUUUGACUAUUUUUGUUUUUGUAUGGACCCAUUUUGCAAUUUUGUUGGCUAAGUAUGUAUUUAUGACAUGUGGAACAUAGAAUUUCAUGGAAGAAAGUGAGAAUUAAAAAAAAUGUAGGAAGACAUUAAGCUUGUUAUCAGCUUAUUUGGGUAUAUGUUUUAUUUCUCACUUCUAUUUGAUUUUAUUUCUAUUGGUUUUUGCAAAUAUUUGUUUGUAUAUAUUUAUUUAUUAUAUACAGAAUUAGAUAUUAAACAAAUAAGAAAUUUUGUUUAAAUAAAAGGAAUAAUUUAGUAAAUAUGUUUUAAUAAAAUAAUAAUUUUAAAAUAUUCUUCUUAAUAAAAGAAAGUUUUUUUAUUAAUAAAAAUUUAGAAAAAUGUUUUUAGAAAAAUCCAAAAAAAAAUUGUUUUUAAUAGAAUUUGAAAAAUUAUUUUUAUAAUAAUUGUCCAAAAAAUUCUUUGUUUAAUAAAAAAAAUGUCCAAAAAUUGUUUUAUAAAUAAAGUUGUCCCAAAAAUUAAUUUUUAAUUAAAUUAUUUUUGAAAAUAAAGUUAUAUUUUUUUUUAAUAAUUUGUAUAAGUCACUUUUCUUAAAUGAAAACAAAUUGAAAUAUUCAUGUAAAUAAAAUUGUAAAAAUUCAUUCAUUUUUUUGUAAAAACAAGUAAAAAUAAUUUUUGUUAUCAAAUUGAAAUUUUGUAAUAAAUUAUUUUGAUACAAUAUGUGUAAAUAACUUCUUUUUUUAAAAAAAAAAAUUAAAUACAAAUGAAAUUGAAUCAAAUCACUUAAAGAAAAUAUUUUGUAAAUCAAUAAAUUGAAAUCACUCAUUCAAAAUUGUUUUUAAUAAAAUCAUUUCACAUUUUCAGAAAACUAAUUUUUUCAAAUAUUUUUUUAAAUUAGUUCAAUAAAUCAAUUUGCAUAAUUAUAUUGUCAUUUAUUUUGUACAUUCUUAUAAUUUUAUUUUGUCAUCAUCUUUGUAUAUAUUGUUUCAUUCAUUUAAUUUUGGUAUUCAUAAUUAAUUAAUUAAUUAUCACAAUUUCCUUAAUUCUUUUAGUAGAGAUCGUAUGUAUAUGAGUUUAGAGAAGUGCUACGAUUCACCACCGUAUCUUCCCAAUAGGUAACUUGACCCCUGAAACCAGAUUCGGUUUUUACAAACAUGUCUUUUUCAAAUAAGGAGUCACACAGGGUUUUCUUUCUUAUUUUGUUUUCCCUUUAAAAAAAUAAAACAAAAAUAAGUGGCGACUCCAAAUAUUUUUCAAAAAAAUCAAAUUUUCACCAAAUAAAUGAAAAGUGAAUCUCGUUGUCGAGUGGGGACGCACGUUAAAAACACAGGUCCACAAUAUGCUUUGAACGUAAAUACCCCAUUUAAAUAUUAAGAUAAAAUUGUGAUGUUUUUUUAAUUUUAAUAUUUAAAAACAUAUUUAUUAUAUUUAAUACAAAAAUCCUAGAAAAAUCAUAAUUUUUCUUUUUUUUUAAUAUUUAUAAUUUUCUUUGGAAGUUUGUAUUUAAUUUGACCUUAACUACAAAGACAAAAAAAAAAUUGUAUGUCAUCUUGGUGAAUUUUAUAUCUACAACAUAUAAUUGGAUGAAAUCUAAUAGAAGUAGUUGAUAUUUACUUCUUUAUUAUUUUUGGUAAAAAAUCAUUUAUUAUCUAUUUAAAUGUUUUUUUUAUUUUUUUAUUUUUUAAAAAUAAAAAAUUUUAAUAAAUUAUUUAUAAAAAGUAGAACAUCUUGUGUAAAAAGAAAAAAAAUUACCUUAUAUAUAUAUUUAAAAAUCACUUUCAAAGUUUUUAAAUAUUGAAAUAAUAACCUCAAUUUUUUGGAACAAUUUUUAAAACUAUUACCUUUUUAUUAUAAAUCUUUAAAAAUUCUUAUACUUUAACUUUAUAUAAAAAGCAAUUCUUACACUUUAUAUAUAUAUAUAUAUAUAUAUUGUGAGGGAAAAAUAAUGCAUAAAUGAAAGUUUAGGUCAUGAAAAAAGUUAUUUCAUUUCUUGAUAUGAUAAGUUUAUGAUAAAGAUAAAUAAAUUUUUAAUGAGUUAAAAAAAAAUUAUGUAAACUGAGUCAAGUUCUUGUGAGUAUUUUUGUUAGUACAUUAUAUUGAGUAGUUUAAGUUUAAAAUUUUGCUUCAUUGGAACUUAUUUUGUUUAUUGUAUCUUACUUUCCUUUGAAGUCUCAAAGGUUGUAUGAUCAAUGGAUCAAAAUUGUAUAGAUAAAUAUAGAAAGGUUUUCGAAAAAAAGACUAAUUUGAUUAAAAUGUUGCAUAAAGUGGAAUUUAGGAUUUCUAAUUGAGCAGAAAUGCUUUUAAUUAUUUAAAAUUAAAAACUAAUCAAACUUUUAAGCACUUAAACAAUUGGAGCCCGAGUGCUAAGGGUGCUCAAGCUGUAGGGCGUUCAAGCGCUUCUUCAAAUAACUCAAGAGUUGCGCUCAUGCACUAUUAAGAGUUGUUCAAUUGCUAGAAGCACUUAAUCACUUCCUCCAAGCACUUGAAGGUUUGAAGAGAAUUUUUUUUUGUAUCCUGAUUUGUUUUAGUUCUUUCUAAUUUUUAAAAAGUCAUUUUUGGAAACUUUAAAAUUUUGUCCACUAAACUUUCAUCCUAUGUAUGAAAAUCUUUUUGUUUUGAGGCAAAUUUUACGAAAAGUUAUUGGCUUGUGGACGUCUGACCCUUCUCUCAUCUCUUCCAAAUUCUCUCCUCUCACUUUCCUUUUUCUUUUUCAUUUUUUUGCUUUCCAUUGAAGAUGGCCGAGUAAAUUUUUUUUUUCUGCCUCCCUUUCUCUGGUGGCCCUGCCCCCAUUUUUUUCUUCCAUCUUUUUUCUCCGCCCCAACACCUAUUCCCAACGGCCACACGCCCUCCUACCCUUAUCACUUCUUCCCCCAUUUUUUAUUUAUUUUUACUUUUUUCUUCUUCUCCCACCCAUUUUUUUUCCAAUCUUUUUUCAUUUCUCUUCCUCCAUCAUACCCAACUUCCAGAGAGAUCUGAACCUGACUUCCUUUCCUUAUUCCCUUUUAUCUCAUCUUCUUCCUCUCAUUCUCCUUUUUUUUUUUCACAUUAUUUUAUUAUUAUUAUUAUUUUUCAAAAAAUCCAUCAACUCUCAUUGUCAUCGAUAAGAUCAUCGGCCAGUUGUCACCAACGAGCCACUGCUGGUCAGCAACCCUUUCUUCUUUUCUCUCAUUCCCUCACUGUCUCAUCACUCCUGUUUCCCAUUAUUAUUAUUAUUAUUAUUAUUAUUAUUAUUAUUAUUAUUAUUUAUUUUUCUUGAUUUAAUUUUAAUAGCAAUUGUUAUUUGUAAUAUUUGAAUUAUUAAAUUAAUAUGAUAUUUGAGUUUUGUUAAUUAAUAUGGAAUUUGGGUUAAUUUGUUAUUGGAGAAUUAAUAUGAAAUUUGGGCUAAAUUAUUGUUGGUGAAUUAAUUUGAAAUUUGUUAAUUUGAGUUAGAUUAGUUGAUAAUUUAUAUGGUUGUAUUCAUUUGAUUUAUUUAAUUUAGAUAUGAUAUAAUAUUGUGGUAUGUUUUGGAUGUGAGUUUGCACAUUAAAUUGGGUUAAUUUUUGUUGUGAAUUUAGGUUUGCAUAUUGAAUUAGACUUGGAUUAUGAGAUAUUAAUUAAAUUUAGCCUAAUAAGAUUUAUUUUGAUUUAUCAUGUUUUGGGUUUGAUUAAUUGAGCUUGUAUUUUGACUAUUAAUUUGAAAAUUUUAUAUUAAGAGGUCUAUGACAUGUGAGAUAUUUUUGUUGGGUUAUAUUUGCUAAUUUGGGCCAAUUUUGAUUGAUUUGAAGUUUGAAUUUGAGUCUGAAUAUUUAUUUUGAGAUUUUGUAUAUUUUUGUAUAUUUACAGUUAGACAUUUUUUGUUUUUGCAUGAGCUUAUUCUACAAUUCUAUUGGCUGAGUAAGGAUUUAUGACACGUGGAACACGGAAUUUCAUGGAAGAAAGUAAAAAUCAAAAAGCUGUAGGAAGACAUUAAACUUGUUGUAAACUUAUUUGGGUACAAGUUUUAUUACCUACUUUUAUUUAGUUUUAAUUUUAUUGGUUUUUAUAAAUAUUUAUUUAUAUAUAUUUAUUAAGUGUGUAUAGAAUUAAAUAUCGAACAAAUCAGAAAUUUUGUUUAAAUAAGAGGGAUAAUUCAGUAAAUAUAUUUUAAUAAAAUAAUAAUUUUAAAAUAUUCUUCUUAAUAAAAGAAAGUUUUUUAUUAAUAAAAAUUCAGAAAAAAUGCUUUUAAAAAAAUCCAAAAAAAAAUUAUUUUUAAUAAAAUUUGAAAAAUUGUAUUUAAUAAUAAUUGUCCAAAAAUUUCUUUGUUUAAUAAAAAUUGUCCAAAAAUUGUUUUGUAAAUAAAGUUGCCCCAAAAACUAAUUUUUAAUUAAAUAUUCUUUUGCAAAUAAAGUUAUAUUUUUUUAAUAAUUUGUAUAAGUCACUUUUUCUUAAAUGAAAACAAAUUGAAAUACUUUUGUAAAUAAAAUUGUAAAAAAUCUUUUUUUUUCUAGUAAAAGCAAAUAAAAAUAAUUUUUGUGUCCAAAUUAAAAUUUUGUAAUAAAUUCUUUUGAUACAAUAAGUGUCAAUAACUUUUUUGAAAAUUAAAUACAAAUGAAAUUGAGAAAAUAAAUUGACUAUUUUUUGUAAAUAAAUAAACUGAAAUCAUUAAUUCAAAAUCAUUUUUAAUAAAAUCCUUUAAGAUUUCUUGAAAACUUUUUUUUAAUAUAUUUUUUAUUUAGUUCAAUAAAUCAUUUUUCAUAAUUCUCUUGUUUUUUAUUCUGUGUAUUUUUAUAAUUAGAUUUCAUCAUUAUUUUUGUGUAUAUUGAUUUUCACCAUGACUUGUACAUACUCAUUUGUAUGAUUAUUUUUCUAGGUAAUUAAUUGUUACAAUUUUCUUAAUUCGUUUAGUAAAGGUUAUACGUAUACGGGUUUAGAUGGGUAUUACGGUUCAUCAUCUUACCUUCCCAAUAGGUAACUUGACUCUCGAAUUUAGAUUAUGUUUUUAUAAACAUGUCUUUUUCAAAUAAAGAGUCACAUAGAAUUUUCUUUCUUAUUUUGUUUUAUCUUUAAAAGAAAAUUAAAAUAAGUGACGACUCCAUGUCUUUUUCUAAAAAUCAAUUUUUUACAAAUAAAUGAAAAAUAAGUUGCCAUGCGAGUGGAACACAUGUAAAAAAUGCGAGUCCACGGUGGUUUUCACAUAAAUAAUUAUAAAAAUAUGUUUUAAUUUAAAUUUUCACAUUCCUCGUUUCUAACGGAUCCAAAAAAAUUAUUUUUCAUAAAAAUGAUUGUGAUAUUUAUUUAUGAAAUAUAUUUAUUUUUAAUAUUCUUUCAAAAAUUAAAAUAAAUAAAUAAAUAAUGGGGCAAGGGCAGUGGGCACGUUCAUCUAAUUGUCUUUUACGAUUUAAAUAAUGGGGACGAGAUUGGUGGCCUGUCAUAGUCAUCACCUGCCCUGCCUGUCCUCCAAAUCCCUUCCCCAUUUACAAGCUAACCACAACUAGUGUUUCAAUUUGCUCCCUUUUUUUAUCAUCCGCUUCAAUAUUCAAUUAUGUGUCCACCGCAGAUGCGUUGUCAGUCUUCCGCCAAAUCCGUGUCAUAGCCCCGGAUUUCCAUAUACAUAUUUAUCACACCAAGGUCAUGGUCCUCGUGGAUCUGAGCUUCAAGCGGAAGGUGAAAAACAUUUGAGGCCAGACCUAUCAGUCUAAGGUUCUCUCUUCACAGGUCUCACUCUCAGCUAUACAUGGAGGAACCAGGGGAAGCAGCAAGCCUUGGUAGCUCUCUGUUGGUCCCUUCUGUUCAGGAGCUGGCAAAGGACUCACUCACCACUGUCCCACCACGAUACCUGCGUCCUGAACAAGACCCUCCAUUCUCAUCCCAGAGUACUUCUCAAACUCCUUUACCUCAUAUCCCCAUCAUCGACUUCCACUGCUUUGCUUUCCGGAGAUGGCAUGGAGUCAGAACUGGAGAAGUUGCACCAUGCCUGCAAGGAAUGGGGUUUCUUCCAGGUACGGAUGCAUAGUACUUACUUGCAUAAAGGAUUAUUAGCAAACUGGACUCUUCAAAUCAAAACUCAUACCAAGAAAACCGAAGUUUCAAGAUCCAAAAAAAUUCAUGAAACACCCUGCAAAGAUUUGUUUUGUUUUGUUUUUCGAUUUAGCAUUCACCCAAUAAUUGAAUUCUCAAGAUUAUGGGUGAUUUUAGAUAAGCCCAGAUGACCUGUUUCUCCCUUUGAUUAUCACAAGAAAGAUUUCAAAUCAAAUAAAUCAAAAAAAAAUAUUUGAAGACAAAUAGGGUCUUGGACCAUGUCAAGAGGGAAAUUAAAGAACAAAUAAAUAAGUUGAUUUAAAAGAAACAUUUUUAAAUAACAAGAUAUCACCUGGAUUAUAUCCGCAUAUAUCUCUUCCUUGUCUGUCGUCUUCAAAUAAUAAUAACCAUUAACUUCUUUCCAUUAAAAAAGAAUUAAUAGUAAUACUAUAGGUGACGAAUCAUAUAAAUUGCAGUUGAAAAAUCAUAGAGUCAGCAGUAGUUUGAUGGAGAAAGUAAAGGCAGAAAUACAAGAAUUCUUCAAUCUCCCAAUGGAAGAGAAGAGAAAGUUCUGGCAACAACCGGGACAAAUAGAGGGAUUUGGACAGGCAUUUGUUGUCUAUAUCUGAGGAGCAGAAACUUGACUGGGCAGACCUCUUCUUCAUGGUCACUCUUCCACCCCAUUUGAGGAAACCACACUUAUUCCCUAAGUUACCUCUCCCAUUCAGGUACUGGAGAAGGAUCUCUCUCUCUCUCUCUCUCUCUCUCUCUCUCAAAUAUAUUUCUAGUAAUAAAAUUUUGGAAGCAUCUUCAAUAGAUUACACCGCUUGGGCAUAUAUAACUCAAUUAGUUCAAUGUAUAGCUUUGUUAAAGGCUUGUUCGAGAACAUAUUUGACUUUUAUAUUACCAUCUUUGUACCAAUUAUGUUUUAAAAAUGGUUUUAUAAAGGGAAUGAUAAUUUUGAUAUAUUUAAAUUUUUAAUUAAAUAAAAAUUUACUUUCUAUAUCACGUUUGGAGAAAAACAUGGAUGUGCCUACUUAUCCGAACAAGAAUAAAUUAUGUUAAAAGAUAAAAACUCCAUUGACCUUCAUAUGUACGUUUAAGCAUCUUUCCUUUUCAUGUAGGGAUACCUUGGAAGUUUACGCAGUUGAACUGAGAAAUCUUGCCAUGGCAAUACUUGGCUUCAUGGCAAAAGCUCUAAAAAUGGAAGCUAAGGCUAUGAAAGCACUUUUUGAAGAAGGGCUUCAGUCCAUGAGGAUGAAUUAUUAUCCCCCAUGUCCACAACCUGACCAAGUCAUUGGCCUAACCCCUCAUUCGGAUUCGGUGGGUUUCACCCUACUUCUACAAGUCAAUGAAAUGCAAGGCCUCCAGGUAAGGAAGAAUGGGAUCUGGAUUCCUAUUAAGGCCCUUCCUGAUGCUUUUGUUGUCAACAUCGGAGACAUUUUGGAGGUAACAACAGCUUCUCAUUCUUUAACCAUUAGUAUAUUUUGAUUGGCCAGGCUGCGGAUUCUGUAAUAGCUUCACCAAGUUCCAGCUCAAUUGAAGAACCAAUCCUAGGCUAUAGCCUGACAUGGGUCUAGGCCCAUUUUGAUCCCAAUAACGACAAGUACCCUAAAUUCUAAACUCUAAACCCUUGUGCCAUGGAACAAUUUUUUCAGAAUUUGUUUCGAAAACACUUAUAUUAUAAAGAAUAGGUCACGAAAACUGUUUCUCAUAUAUGAGUACUAAACAUAAUUUCAUUUUGUUUUCGAAAACGUUUCCAAACAAGUUUGGAAACUUCUCCAAAAAGUCUCUGAUUUGUUUCCCCCCAUGGUUUGAUAGAUUGUGACCAUCGAGCAUCGUGCGGUUGUCAACUCCGUCAAGGAGAGGCUCUCGAUCGCCACAUUUUACAGCCCAAAACUCGAAGGGGAUAUUGGUCCGGCGCCUAGCCUUGUCACUCCACAUUCUCCGGCUCUCUUCAAAAAUGUGAGUGUUGCAGAUUACAUAAAGGGACUAUUUUCACGCGAACUCCAUGGAAGAUCAUACCUUGACGUCCUGAAGAUUGACAGUGAAGCAGAAAGCAAUUGAGAUCAUACCUCGAAGGUAUUUGUAUGCUAUGUAAAAGAAAAUAAACUUGGACGUAGAAUUAAGACCUUUAAUUCAUAUAUAAAGUUUGAGAAUGAAAUAAGAGUAUUAGUAAAGGAUAACGGCAAGAUUUCGAUCAAAUUGAAGGAUGGAUAACAAAGUUUUAUCUCUAAUGUAUCAUAUGUUCCAAGUCUUUACCAAAAUCAAUUGAGUGUAAGCCAAUUUUGAGACAAAGGGUAUGAUAUGCAAAUUUAUAAAGGUGUCUAUACUAUUAAUGUAAGGUAAAAAUGACACGAGAUUGUUUAAUUCUAUUAAUUAUUAAUUAUGAAAAUUAUCUUACUUUAGUUUUAUAAUUGACAAUAAGAAUGAGUUAUGAUACUUAUGUUUUGAGCAUUUAAAUUUUGAAAGUCUAAAAUUACUUAUUGCUAAGAAUAUCUAUUGUGAAAUAUGCAUUUUAGGACGGAAGCAUAAAAAUCCUUUUUCAAGCCAUAGCCACCUUAUAUGCCUUUUUAGCUAAUAAUUGUAUAAGUAUAAAUGUUUCAAAUCUAAUGGUUUCACCAUGUAGGAGUAGGACCCAUUGGGAUAUAAUGUUAAGGAAAAUUGAGCACAGAGGUGCUUUUCCACAUAUACUUUUUUUUCUCUCAUAAAAUACGAUGCCGUUUAUUUUCAACAAUCUUAAGUUUGAACCCUGUAUGUCUAUAUAUAUAUAUAUAUAUAUAUAUAAGAAAAAUAUUGCAAAUACUUGUGAAAUCAACCAAUUCAGAAUCCUAACAAACCGCCAUUGACAAGUGCAAAAUGCGUAUGAGUGGCGCUUUGGGAAGAAGAGUGAAAUGAAUACUAGUAAAGUAAGUGUUAAAAGGGUAUGACACAAAAUCGAAUGCUACCUUCCACUUUUGCGAGGGAGUGCCGACUGAAAUGAAUAGGAGAAAGCAUCUUUAAUUAUCUUAAAUUCUUAAUUGAUAUGAUUCAUUUUGAUAAAACAACAUUGCAUUUGAUAUUUAUAUUUAUUAAUUCCACGAGAAGAGGUUUUCUUACAAAAUAAUGAGAAUUGUCAAGUAUAUUUUAUAUUCUAAAUUACUGGAAGAAAAUGCUAUGAAAUGGGAUGGAUUUAUAAAAUUUAUGCUUAAUUAGAAAUCACAAUGAAAUAGGCUAACCCUAUUUAUUAAUUCCAGGAGCCCAUUAUUUGUCCUCAACCCUAUUUGAUAAAACUAUAUAUCUCCGUGUAUGUUGAUGACAUUAUUAUCACAAGUGAGGAUGCUUCCAUAGGCUAACGCUUUGUGAACCUUCUUGCCUAAUGGCUUUUACUCAAGGACUUUGCCUCUCUUGCUUACUUCUUGGGUGUUGAAGUAAUUUUAAACCAAAAUGGGCUACUUUUAUCUCAAUGACCAUACAUUAUGGAUUUUCUUGUCUGCAUUAAGAUGACUAACACAAAACUUGUCUCCACACAACUUCUUAGAAGUCUGUCACUCUCCCUUCACAUUGACUCCACUCUUUCUGAUCCAACUGAAUAUCAUGUUGUUGUUAGAAGUUUGUAGUACUUGUGUCUUACACGACUUAACAUAGCAUUUACGGUAAACGAACUAUCUCAAUGCAUGCAUCAACCCACUAUCGAACAUUGGACUCAUGCCAAGCACCUAUUGUGCUAUCUAUGUGGUACUUCUGAUCAUGGCAUGUUACUUUACUAGGACUCUCCAUGUGCUCUACAUGCUUUCUCCAAUGUUGAUUGGGUAAGCAAUAAAGAUGAUUUCUUAUCCACUAAUGCUUACAUCAUGUAUCUUGGACACAAUCUAAUCUCUUGGAGCCUCAAGAAACAAUGCAUAGUUGCCCAUUUUUUCAUAGAAGUCGAAUAUCUAUUUUUUGUCGCUACUGCUCCCCAACUUAAUUAAGUAUGCUCUCCAUUAAUUAAACUACAUGUUUGGAUUCCUCACACACCUAUGAUUUUUUGCCACAAUGUUUGUACAAUGCAACUAUGUUCUAGCCUUGUGUUUCACUCUCAUAUGAGGCAUCUGGCCAUUGAUUUUCAUUUCAUUCAUUAUCAUAUUUAAAAUGGUGUUCUUUGUGUUGCUUGUGUGUUGUUAGAAAAUCAACCACCAGAUGCUGUAACAAAACUACUACAUCAUAGUUGCUUUCUUUCUUUUAAGACCAAGACUGGAAUCUUCGAUCAAAACUCCAUCUAGUAAGGGCAUGUUAGUAAAAAAUAAUAUUUAUUUUUAAUCUAAAUAUUAAUAUUUAUUUAUUAUUAGUUUAAAUUAGAGCAAAAGAUAGACAUGUGCUUGAAUUAGAAUACAAGAUAGAGCUUGAAUUAGAGUAGGAUAUAGACUUGCAUAAAAUUUAGAAUACAAAAUAGAGUUUGAAUUAGAGUAGAAAAUAGACUUGUUCUUUAUUUAAAUAUUCAUCAAUCACCAUUAAAAAAAGUUAUGUUUUCUCUAUUAUCUUCUUUUUCUGUAUUACUACCAAGUCAUGUCAUUUAGUAAGAAACAUGCAUAUGUUGGAGCAACUUUCCAAAUUCUAAUGACCAAGAUAUUUGAGUGGUAGAUCGGGAGACAAGUCAUAGUGUACGUGGACAAUCUAUUGGUAAAAAGGCAAAGAAGUAGAAUCACAAGUCAAAGACUUAAUUGGAGGAGGUAUUCUAGACAUCAAGCUCAGCUCAACCCAAUCAAGUGCACCAAGCGGCUAAAUUUUGGGGCUUCGAUCUAUUUAGUAGCUAGAAGAGGAAUCAAACUAUACCUUUAACAAAUUAAGGCAUUUUUUCAUGUGAAACCACUAGCCAAUCAAAGGGGAGUAUAGGAAUUCACAAGGAAAAUUGCUACAUUGUCUAAAUUUGUAUCUGGACCAGCGUAUCAUCGUGAAGCAAUUUUGUAUCUUUGUACUUCUGAAGAAAAAGAGGAAUAUAAAGUGAUCAAGAAUUAAACAACUAAAAGAGCACCUAUCAAGGUUGCCAAUUCCCUCUACACCUUAUUCGGAAAAGGUACUCUAUUUAUCUAAUUGUUUUCUUAAUAAAUUAGUACUAUUCUUUUUGGAAUAGAGGAUAGAGUGGAAAAGUAUGUCUUAUCAUAUUAGCAAAGGUAUGGUGGCAGAUAAAGUGCGAUAUACCGCUCUCAUUACCUUUGUUUUAGCACUCUUGAUUGUUAAGUGAAAGCUUCGACCUUAUUUUCAGGCCCACUACCGCACUCACUACCUCUUCAAUGAAAUGCGUACUCAAAAGCUAGAUUUGUUGGGUUGAAUGCUAUAUGCUGGUCGAUCGAACUAAAUGAAUUUGAUAUCAUUUGCAGAUCACGAACCACCCUUAAAGGGGCAUGCAGGUACUACCUGACUUUGUAGCAUAAUUCACCGGGUGGGUGUGCGGGGUGGGAGAAGUGGGAGGGAUGGGAAGAGCACAAGCAAGAUACGAAACAAAAAGAGGAAGAACAGUUCAUGAGGGUGCUAUGUGUAGACGAAGCAUCUAAUUUGAAAGGUGCCCGUACGUGCAGGAAUAUACAUGGACCAUAUUUGUCAUAAUUGAGAAAGGUGUUACUCUAGGAUUUGAAGCCUCGAACGAUGAGGCCAAAUAUGAAGCACCCAUUCAUGGAAUUAAAAUGGCCCUGACAUUGAGGGCCACAAAGCUCCAAGUCUAUGCAUCCAAUGCCACAAAAUUAGGAUUAAUCCAGAGAAGUGAAGGUAAUUAAUGAGGUUUAUUAACUAGGAUAUUUCAGUUUCAUCAGUUAUAGUACAUAAUUUUACGCAGUCGCACGCUAAUUUUUUUUUAUUUAUUUGCAUUGUCUUGGCUAUGCUAUCUUCCAAACUCCGCACCAACAAUCAGGUUAAAAACUUUCUAGGCAACCUACUUUUGUAGUGUAGGCAGCUUUUUCGUCAUAGUCACCCAACUAGGAUGUCGAAAAUCAUUAUGAUUAGAAUGGUUCACAAAGAACACAACCAAGACUUAUCCAACCUCUCUUGCUCUUCCUUUUCCCUGUGUUGUUGCUCAUGUCCUAAUCUGUCCUGUUUUUCUCUGAGUAUUCUCUCCUGAGCAUCUUCCAUAGAUUUCUCAUCUUUCUCCAGUCUCACACCUUCUCUACCUCUAGCAGCGUUUUUAUUUCACUCUUCCUUGCUAUUUUCUGCAUGUCUGAAUUUAGCCUCAGCUCUACCCAUAGCCUCCUUCAUAACAGCAACAGCUGAGUUUGUCUCCAUUUCUCCACAAGAAAGAACAUCCUCAUGUUCAGUAUUAUUUUGAGUCCUAUCCAUGAUAAAACGCUCAAACUCAUCAAUUUGAGACAUGUCUGAGCUUCUCACUACAGCGGGGACUGACUUGCAACUCUGGAAAUGCUGAGAGGAAUAAUGGAAGGAACAAAACUCGCUAGCCUUUUUUCUAUGAUUUGUAGAACUAACAGAACCUGUUUCUGGCUUUGAAACCAAAGUUGGUCUUAGAGGACGGGGUCUUGAAGGUGGUGGAGCACAUGUUGGUUGUGUAAAGAGAUGAAUUUAUGAUACAAUUAACCAUAUAUUAUCCGAUAAAUCCAAGUUUUUUUUUCAGAUCUUACAGAGACAUCUACUUGGGAAUUUUUCUCCUUAGGGCCAACAUUUGGAUAUGAAAGAGUAGAAGCAAUUUUGACAAACAAAUUUAUGAGAAUUGGUUGAAUCCAUUGGCAUGUCAAAAAGAUUUUCUCUAGAUUCCCUAUAAUUGUUAACCAUCUUCCUUUGUGUGUGGUUCUCAGAAAUUGUAGGGACCACCCUUAAGCGUACACGUGGCAGACCACCCUGGCCUCACAAGGCACUCCUUUGAUGGACACGUGACACGUCCCACCCUUUGUCUGGACGUCCAAUCCGGACCUAGUAGUUGUUGUCCCAAACAGGAUCCCUGACCAUAUUUCAAGGGCAAUCAUUACUCAUUUCGCUAAAAGCAUACUCGACAGGACAUUCCCAGGUCUUUUCAGGCGACCUACUACGACCUGCCCUGCACCGCCUGUAGAGUGAAAAGACAAGUGGGACGACAAAUCAUUCCUCCAACAAUCUCUGUCAGUUGCCUGCAGUAUAAUGAUGGCUCAGCCACCUUCUGAGCACCAUCAUGAUUGCGAAAGUCAAAGAGCCUUCCCACCUUCAAAGUGACGGGGCUCUAGACACUAUAAAAGGCCCUCGACGACCCAGUCAAAGGGAGAGGAAAGUAUUCCUUAGAAAGCCCUUAGAAUACCACGAUGUUGGAUUGCCAAACUGACAAAAGCUUCGAAGGGUGUGUCGGAACCACCUGUCCAAACAUUUUUUGUAGGAAAAUAGAAGGAUGCAUCGUUCUCAGUUGAGGGGGCGAAUACUUCAGGGAGCUACAGUGCCUCUGGGACAUCCCCACAUCAACAAUAAUCACUACCUCUUCAAUGAAAUGGGUACUCAGCAAUAGGCUAGAUUUGUUAGGUUGAAUGCUAUAUGCUGGUCAAUCGAACUCAAUGAAUUUGAUAUCAUUUGCAGAUCACGAACUACCCUUAAAGGGGCAGGUACUACCUGACUUUGUAGCAUAAUUCACCGGGCAGGCGUGCAAGGUGGGAGAAGGGGGGAGAGAUGGGAAGAGCACAAGCAAGAUACGAAACAAAAAGAGGAAGACCAGUUCAUGAGGGUGCUGUGUAGACGAAACAUCUAAUUUGAAAGGUGACCGUACGUGAAGAAAUAUACAUGGACGAUAUUUGUCAUAAUUGAGAAAGGUAUUACUCUAGGAUUUGAAGCCUAACAAUGAGGCCAAAUAUGAAGCACUCAUUCAUGGAAUUGAAAUGGCCCCGACAUUGAGGGUCACCAAGCUGAAAGUCUAUGUGUCUAAUGCCACAUAAUUAGGACUGUAGCAAUUUGAGUAAUUUUGAGCUGCAUGCACUUAAUCUAGAGAAGUGAAGAAUAAAAGAAAAAACACCUUACAACACUUAAGCAGAGGUACUAAUGAGGUUAUUAGCUAGGAUAUUUCAGUUUCAUCAGUUAAGACUACAUAAUUUUAUAUAGCCGCACGUUAAUUUUUUUUAUUUGCAUCAUCUUGGCUAUGCUAUCUUCCCAAGUGCUCCGCAGGGUCAAUCAGGUUAUAAACCCUCUAGGCAACCUACUUUUGUAGUGUAGGCAGUUUUUUUUUGUCAUAAUCACUCAACUAAGAUGUCGAAAAUCAUUGUGAUGAUUAGAAUGAUUCACAAAGAACACAGCCAAGACUUAUUCAACCUCUCAUACUAAAGGUACAUGGAUAAAGUAAUUUGGGUAGAAUCAAUGGAACAUGAAAUAUAUGAUUCCUAAAUUAUAGAUCCAUCCAUCCUACAGAUCUAUCUGUUGGCGUAUUUUCACAUAUAUGAAUUGUCAGGUGCAUCUACAAUGAUAAAUGCCCACCAGUGGGCUGCCAGCAUGGUAAAAGUCAAGCACAGACAAGCAAAAAGAUUAUAAUCAUCCACUCCAUAGUAGUAUAUUAAUUAAACAUACACGCACUCAGCCAAUAAUGCCAACUCUACUUUCCUGUAGACAUUGAGAAUGACGAUACCUCAAGUGGAUAAAUUAAUGGAAAUCAAAAUGAUUAAAUCAAUACGAUAUUUAUAGGCGGAAUCAAAUUAAUAAUUGUUCGGUCAAUAUAUAAAACUAGUGUACAUAUGAUAUGCAGAAAGCAGUAUAUGCCAACAAAAUAUUAUCUUGAGUAGUGCAUGCUAGCACGUAGCACAAGGUUUCUCACAAACACCAUGAAGGUUGAUUGGAAGAAUUUGAUUUAUUUUAAUGAGUUACGAAACCUCCUAAUAGAAUUAUUACAACGAAGGAGCCCACUAACGAGCCUUCCACCAUUAAUAGAUUCUUACAAAGUACGAAAGGAAGCAACAUAUUCUUUCUAAAGAGAACCUGAAUUAAUGUCGACAUUCCAGUGGGAGACCCCCAGGGAAGCGCUUCAUAUCACUACAAUAGUUGUAUAUCAUGUAAUUCUUCUGCACCCAUUGAAGUUUUCUUCGGCUUUUUGCAUCCAAUCCUUGGUUCUGCCAUGCAAUAUUUGAGACUGGACUCGUAAACUUGGAAGCACAGGAUGAUGAACCAUGAGACCACAGGCAGGCUGCAGCAUUGAAGUUUCUAUAGGAGGCUGUGAAGGGAGCCUUAGACCAAUCGAUUUUCACGAGGCCGCCUCUUGUUGCCCAGUCAUCAGCAUUCCACAGGCUUGAGUAAAUCCUCAUGGGUUGGGACUUUGGGAAGGGAACUCCAAUGGAUUCUUGAUUCUUGAAUUCUCUGAUUGGGAUGUUGUCUACUAGGAAGCUGAAAAGAGAAGAUGUUAGUGAAGAAUACAAACCCUUUCACCUGCUGAAAGGACGUGAAAAUAGUAGUGUAGCAGCUAGCCUUUUGACUUAAGUGCUAAUUACCAUCUCAUGAAAUAUUAAAGAAAAAUGAAUUUAGGAAGUGACAAUUUUACAUGAUGUUUUGGAGGUUCCAUAUAAUAGAGUAGGUGUGAAAAUUUUCUGUUGGGUCAAACCAGAGGUAGAACUGCUGCUCUCUAUUCCCUUUCCCUUGCGUAAACACAUUAGUAUGGAGAAUAUACGGGUCUCCGCUAAGGUUCCCCAAGAACUCAAAAUCAAUCUCGUCGUGUGUUGGGCCUUGAGAAGAUAACUGCCACACGAUGUGAUAUUAGCUUUGAUAACACAAGCUUAAUCAAGAAGGGAGAAAGUGGUACUGAGGUGCCUUACAUAGUAUGCAGUGACGGUGCCUGCAGAAUUUCCAGAAACAAGCUUGAGUUGCAUGUCAAUCUUUCCAAACAGAUACUCCUUUUUGGAUUGGAAGCCCGAGCCGGAGGCCUUAUCAAGAGAAAGAGUGAGAAGCUUUUCUCCAUCCAGUAUUUUUGCACGAUGAUCACCCCAGGUUAAGUCGAAGUCUUGGUAGAAACUACCUGCAGAAGCAGCCAUAAUUGAACUAACAAAGACAGAAAAUAAAAGCAUUGAUGAAAUGUUAAGAGAGAAGCAAGGUGCCAUCUUUUGAUAGACAGGCUAGAGAUGAUAGCACUGAUGUGUGGACAUUAAUGAGAAGGCUUUAUAUAGGCAGGCAUUGGGAGAAGCGUGAAGUACAUAAACACUAACAACUACGGAGGGAAUAGAGCUGGCAUGGUUUAGCUUUUGCUUUCGAAGUGCACCAUGGGGAGAGAAACCUUCACUAACUUUUGAUGCCAAGUUGGUUGGUUUUGUAUCAAAAUACUUGUGAUGGGUCCGACUUUGAUUAUGGUUUGGCCUUUUGUUUCACUCACCAAACCAAUGAAAUCAUGUAUAUCCAAAUAUAUUAUAUACAAACCCAGCCUACCUAUAUACACCCUAGCUUGACUGGUGUUUCUUAACCACUUUUUUAAGGCCCGGCCUGAGGUCAUUGAACUGGAACCACUAAAUUAAUUAAACCCAACCUGUGACCCACCUCCUGUUAGUGAUGCAAUUAAUUAGGGAAAAAGUUGAAAGGAAGAGAAUCAAGCAAGUAAAUGAUUUGAAUGACUUAUCUGUUUAGGUGGUGGAGUAAUAGUUUAUAUCAUUAGUUAUGAUCAUGUUAAUUAAUAUGGUCCACAAACCUCAAGCAGAGAAAAAGACAGCAACAUUUAGAAGGGGGUAACACAUUUCAUUAGCUCUUGUGUAUAAGGCAACUUUACAUUAUUCUUAAUAGAGUGAACAAUACCAAUACAUUUUGGGUUAUUAUGAGAAAGGGUUGUUUGAUGCAUGAGCUGGUUAAGGUACAUAUGAUUUAACUCUAGCUAUCUAGCAAUAAAGCUACAUAUCGAAUAAGAAAAAUUAUAUUCAAGACAUUAUAUAUGUAUGAACUGAAAAAAAAAAAUUAUAACGUGUGUAUAUAUAUAUAUAUAUAAAAGCUUCUUUUAAACAUAUAUACUUACAUAGUUAAUAACAAACCGUUACACGUAUAGCUCAAAUUAUGUAGCUAGACACCGUUACCAUCAUUUAAAAAAAAAUUAUCAAAGAAACCUUAAUGGAACCGGCCUUUACUUGAUUGUAAUCUGGGAACUGGUAGUGGACCUCCUGUUGUUCCAGUGGCAUGCACCAGAUGGGAAAAAGCAAUGUAGUUACAACUAAAGAAUUUGAUUUAUUAAACCCCAACAGUCUCAAACAUAUAAUUAACAAUAAAUAAAGUUGGCACUUUAUGAUUGUUGAAACGGCGCCACUUUUAUGCGUUGAAUUAAAUAGAAUGGCUAGCUCUUGUCCUUUCGAAAAAUGGUCUGCCUUUAAUGGCUUAAAGGUUUCAUUUUAAAAACCUUAAAAGCCACGUUUGCUUCAUGGAACAGGGCUUUGGGAAUGAGAGUGAUAUUUUCAUUCCAUUAAUUGUUUUAUUUAGUUCAAUAUUUUGAACUCUGAAAAUUUAUACCUGCAAAGUCACCGUCCAUAAAAUAUGGUUGUUGAAAAAUGAAAACCGAUCAUACUUCUUAGGAGUUCUAAUGUCACCCAUGUUCUUUUCUUCAAUGAUAAGUGAUUUAACUCCUAUAUUCGAUAAUUUGUGUUAAAAUAUCUUUCAUAAUCUAAUAAAUUAUUUAUUUCUUUUUAAUGUAGAAAUAUAAUAUAUCUAAAAAAAUAAAUAAACAAAAAAAAUAUUAUUUAUCUUCUUUUCACAAUAUAAUAAAUUUAUGUAUAGUAUAUAAUCUAAUAAUUUUUUGUAUUCUAGUCAUGAUUUAUAUUUUUUAAUAUAGUGUUCUAUACUAUUAUAAUAUAAUGAAUUGUGUGGAUUUAUUCCAACCAUUAUUGAUCUUUUGCUAAAAAUAAUAUAAUAAUUUACAUGAUAAAUUAUUUUGCAUGUAGAGCCAAUUUUUGGCUACAAUAUAAUAAAAAAAUUUUAAUUAAUAAUUAAAAAAAAUCUUAUACGUUAAUCAAUACUAUUUUAAUAAUUUAGAGUUCCCAAAGUAUUUACAUUUCAUGUAAGAAAAACAGUCAACAUACCCCAUUUUUUACCAACAAGAGUUUUUAUAUUUAUAAAAAAUCAUUUACUAAGAACGCUUUUCAAAAAUGUUUGGAUGGUUUAAUAGAAAAAAAGUCCAUAAGAAAUUUUUUUUGAAAAGACACUAUAAGAUUCAUUAAAGUGAUUGUUGUUAGCCAUCCAACCAUGCUGCUUCCUAAGAAGAAUGAUCUUUAAAAAAUGACCUUGAGAUCAGUGUGUAAGGUUGGAGAUGGUUAAGCACUAAUAUAAACCUUGGGAUAAGUCAAGGCUCUCAGACGGGUGUCUUGUGUGGGAUAAGUCAAACCUCACUCUAUGUCUCUAGAUGGUUAAGUUCUAAGAUGAGUGUGGCAUCAAACCACAUAAAGAGGAUUAGUAUGACCUCACUAACAACCAAUUGGUUUUCAAGUGAGAUAACUAGCUAAAUCCUUUAUCUUAAUAAGUGGUAUCAAAGUUAGUUAGAUUAUGGGUCAAGUUACAAAAGUUUUAUGUUAAGAAAGGGAUUGAUAGGCAUGCAACGAUGUUGCUCUCUAAGGAAAAUGACUAUUGAAAAACGAUCUUGGGAUGAGUGUGUAAUACGGAGAUAGUUAGAUAACAUUAAUAGCUUUCGAGAUGAUUCAAUCCCCUAAGAUGGGUAUAUUGCGUAGGAUGGGUCAAUGGACAGUUUGAAAUGGUCAAGGCCUCACAAUGUUCCUUCAAAUGGUUAAGCCUUACAAUAAGUGUGAAUGAGUGUAGCAUGAAACCAUACAAAGAGUAUUAGCUUGAUCUCACUGAUAGCAAAUGGUUUUCAAAUGAAAUGAUUAAGUGUGUAAUCGUCAUAAGUAAUAUCAAAGUAUCAAUGGAAGAUUUUUGGAAAAGUCAAAUAUAUAUAUAUAUAUAUAUAUAUAUAUAUAUAUAUAUAUAUAUAAUAUGUUCCCUUAAACAACAAUGUUACCUCCUAGAGACUUAGGUAAUCCAAAAGCAGAGUCCAUUGUAAUAUGUCCCCACUUCCAUUAAGAGAUUGGAAGUGGUUGCAAUAGUCUUAUUGGGCAUUAGUGCUCAACUUUGACUUGCUGACAACUAAAGUACUUUGCUAAGAAAUGAGCAAUAUCUCGCUUUGAACUAGACAACUAGUAAAGUUCUCUCAUAUACUUCUAUACAUCUUAGUCUAAUCAGGAUGAACUAAAAAUUUAGAGCUAUGACUCCCUUUUAAAAUAUCUCUUCUCAAAUCUCUAACAUGAGGCACACACAUAGUCUAGAACUUCAAAAUCCUAUCAUCCAAAAGUAUAAACUCGAAUUUAGUACCUUUUCUAAAUCCAUCCAUGAUUUGCACCAACUUUGGGUCUUCACCCUAUGAUGACUUGAUCCACCCAACCUGCAGAUUCAAUUGAACACUAAGACUAGCCAAUAGUAUUUCAUAAUCUAGAACUAUGAACCAAACCCUCAAUCUCUCCAAAACACAAAAAAUAAGGUUGUCUUCAUUGUAGGGUUUCGAAAGAACCACCAAAUUUUUUACUAUCAAUGCAUCACCGACUACAUUUGCCUUGCUAAGAUGAUAAAUAAUAGAGCAAUCAUAGUCCUUUAGAAGCUCAAUCCCCCUUCUUUGUCAUAUAUUCAAUUCUUUCUAUAAAUAAAUAAAUAAAUACUUUAAGUUUUUGUGGUUUCUCACAUGUUUCGUAGCACAAAUAAAGUCUUCAAAACUUAAGUGCAAAAGCUAUAACUGCUAGCUCUAAGUCAUAAGUAGGGUGGUUCUGCUUAUAAGGUUUCUAUUGUAUAAAAACAUAAGCAAUAACCUUCCCAUGUUGCAUUAAUACACAACCAAGUCCUUGGUUUGAUGCAUCGUGACUAAAGACAACAUGUCCCCCUGAGCCCAAAGGAAUAGUCAACAUAUCCUCGUUGAGUUUUGGGCUGUAAAAUGUUGCAACAGAGAGCCUCUCCUUGAUUGAGUUCACAGUUGCGCGAUGCUCGAUGCUCCGAUAAGCUCCAUUUGUCACAAUCUGCCAAGCCAUGGAAGAAAACAGAUCAGAGAGAGACAAUUACAGUCGACUGUUUGUUGACAUGAUGAUGAUGAAAUAUAUUCAUUCUAAAGAGAUUUCAAAGGAAGAGAAGCUAUGGCUCUAGGCUUCAUUACGGUUGAUUUCCCAACUGAGCCUGAAUUACACAAAAAGAUUUUGAGUAUGGCCAUUGCCCAACUGGUUAAGAAAAUGAGACGCUAUUACCUCCAAAAUGUCUCCUAUGUUGACAAUGAAAGCACCUGGAAGGGGUUUAAUAGGAACCCACAUCCCAUCUUUCCUUAUCUGGAGACCUUCCAUUUCAUUGACUUGAAGGAGUAUAGUGAGGCCCACUGCAUCCGAAUGAGGGGUUAGGCCAAUGACUUGAUCGGGUUGUGGACAUGGAGGAUAAUAAUUCAUCCUCAUUGCCUGAUGCCCUUCUUCAAACAAUUCUUUCAUAUCAUUGGCUUCCAUUUUUAGAGCUUUUGCUAUGAACCCAAGGAUUGUCAUGGCAAGAUUUCUCAGUUCAACUGCAUAAAUUUCCAAGGAAUCCCUGUACGAAAAAUAAAGUUAAUUGGACCCUUCAUUAAUGCUAAUAGCUCAAGGUAUUGUAAGGCCGCACAUUGAACAGGUUGAGCUAGGCCCAAGUAGCUUCACCUGAAUACAUGUACUGACUUGUGGACCCCGCAUUUCGAUCGCUCGAAUGCGUUUUCCACUCGAUGGCGAGCUCGAAUUUUUAUUUGAAAAAUGAUUUUAUUUAUUCAAAGAGAAAAUGACUUGGAGUCGCCACUUAUUUUUGUUUUAUUUUUAAAAGGGUAAACAAAAUAAGAAAGAAAAACCCUAAGUGUGACUCCUUGUUUGGAAAAGGUGGUCUACGAAAACCGGAUCGGGUUCAGGGAUCAGGUUACUUACUGGGAAGGUACGGUAAAGACCGUAGCACCCCUCUAAGUCCGUAAGGUUGGGUCUCUACUAAUAAGAUGAAGCUAACAUGGCAAUCACUAGGAAAGUCAAUGGAUACUCAAGUCAAUCAUGCACAUAUGAGAAUCAGAAUACGUAUAAGGAAUAACCAAUGUCGAAGUGGAUACGUACCUGAUCAGCAAACGGCAACGCACUAUCACAAAAUGGGGUUAGUGCAUAGUAAUGAACAUAAAGCAUGUCACUCAUAUCACUAAACAGGAUGAGGAACCACCAAUAGCACGCAUGAUAUUUCUUUCAAAUUCACUUUUAUUUUGAUGAAAAUUUAUUUGAUGUUGGGCCCCACCAAAGCCCAUUUAUUUUGCAUAAACCAAAUCUGUAAAUUCCAUAACUAGGAAUUACAAAAUUUGAUUCUUGCGUAUUUUAAAACAUUUUAAAAAAAACAAAGAAAAUUCAAAAGUGGCUUGCCGGAAAGAAAAUGGCAACCAAAUUUUAUUGAAAAUGGGAUUUUGGUAUCUAAAAAAAACGAAAGGUGAAAAAGUAGAGGAGUCGGGAUUAUUUGAAAAGAUGAAUUGUAGAAAGUAUUUACAAAACAAGACAUGGGGGCAAUUAUUUUAAAAUCAAAUGUGAUGAAGAAUAAGAGAAAGGAGGACACGUGCCUAAGGCUGCAUGCAAAAAUACUUGAGUGGGGGAGUUGGUGAGGAAUGGCCAUGCAGGGAUGAAAUCCUGAUCAUAACCGUGCUUACUUGAUCAACUUGUGGAUUAGGAUCAUCAAAUUCUGAAAACCCUGCAUCAAACGCAAACCAUUGAAUGUACCGCCAUCAAUCACAGCACUGCUGACCUUCUUAAACAGCUCGUAUAGUACCUCUAUUUCACUCACACUAAACACUGUUUCCCUUGCCAGAGCUUCAAGAUCAUGAAGACCUUUUGCUGGAUUCUGUAGAGAAAGCCUGAAGAGGAAGAGUGAAGAUGCUCGCCCACCAUGUCUCACUGUCUAUUCACUCUGCUAGGGUUUUUUAUACCUCGAUUUGCACUUCGAAUAACCCCGCUUUGAAUUGAAUGAACCAUCUUUAUCUUCAUCCUCCAACGAAGAAACCACAAUGGUGCUCCUCUUGCUCGUUACUAUCACCACUGAAACCUUACUCUGGUUGUAGAAGUUGGCCUUAACAGCCUCAACAAUCAGAUGUCGCAUAUUCCCAGAACAGUUCAUUGGCAAGUCAUUCAUGCUCGCGCAAUCCAAGUAUCCACUCCUAGACGUGACGCCUGAAGCAAACAUCAUUGCUUUGGCAACAGCCUGAUUGGCUACCAAACUAAGAGAUUGAGGUACAGUCAACAAACCCUCAUAAUCGUCCAAUGGCUGUAAACUGGAAAUCAAGUCUUCAUGAUGCUUUACUGAAAUUUGUUUCUCUUUCCUUCGAUACUGAGAUGCAUCACCAUGCAGUGCCUAAAGGUUUGAUGGGUCUCCUCUGAUGCCUGAAAAUUCUCAUUAUCAAGAACAUGAGUGACAGCCUUCGCAGGCCCUUCUUAAACUUCUUGCCCCAUAAGUACUGCCACAAGAUCAACACUGAACAAGAGAAGAUUUCUGGUUUGAUGAGCAAAUAUUGAUUUCAUGUUCAUUCUCAGUAGAAGCCUUGGAGUCUUUCUUCUUGAAAGGUUUUCAGUAAUGAAAGAGCAACAAUAUCUUUUAUGGCAAGUACAAGCAUACACGAUUAUGGGGCACCAUUAUCGUCCAAACUACCAAGAAGCUUCGCACCAUUCUUAACUCUGGGUGAAACAAAACAGCUUCCUUAUCCCAAUCAGCUUAAAAUUCAUAGAGAAAACCCAUUUUCCAGAGGACAUUGUGAGAAAAACAAACAUGAUAGGUAUCAGGAAAUAUGGUUAUGAAAGGUGGUGAGAAAAGGAUAAUGGAUAUGAGAAGGUCUUAGAGUGAGAAAAUGGGUUUGACCGAUGGUUUGUGGGUAAUGAAGGCUGCCAUGCAUAUGGGAGAGUAUGAGACUUGGGCAUGAAACAAUGGAUUUGAUGGAUAUGGGAUGCAUGCAUGAGAUGGAUGACAGAGGAUGGGAUGGACGGAUUUGAUGGGUACGUAGAAAAAAAACAAUGGGUAUGAAUGGCGUGGAUUUAGAAGAAAACGGCUAAAUGAAGGAUAUGAGUAUGAUAGUGGGAACAAUGAAGAAGUAGAGAUAGCGACACGUGGGACUUUCAGGCACUUGCAGCGCAUAAAGCACUAUAGAGAGUUUCACGCUCUGAUAAUUGUGGCACCAUGUUGUUGGGCAGUGAUGAUAAAUUUUCUAUUCAACCACGCGUCAUCGCCCACAAGCCCCCGCACAGGUUUCUCACCAGCUGGGGUUUUGACAGUAGCAUGGGUGACAUCCGGAUACUGAAUUGAAGAGUGAUUUCCCCCAUAUGAUAGCAUUCUUAACAUCGGAUAUUUGAACAUUCAGCCUUGCAGAGACCUGACAUGCUGCCCCGUUAUGGUCCAGUCUUGUCAAACGACUAAUGUUUUCUCAGGAUAUUGAUGGUGCAAAUCCCUUCAGGAUAAAGGCGUUUGCAUUUGCUGGGUUAGCAACAACCUUAAUUGCAAACUCCAAUAGUGACCUUGACACAGCAGAGGAAAGAGCAACUGCACGCAGUGCAUUUGUAGAGAAAUAUGAACCCUCUGGAGGAAUGGAAAAUAGUAUACUAACAGCAGCUUCUAAGUUCCCAACUGACACAAAUUCAUGUACACGGUUCUGAAUAGUCUCUGCUUCCCCCAGUUUCUCAUGUCUUUAGCUCCUCACUUCCAUCGCUCAGUGUAAAGCCAUUGAAAUGUUGAAGACGCCGAGAUGAGGAAUAAGCUUGCAUGCGGGCUUAGCAACAACCUGAUUUCCUCUUCAGUAAAUGAAACUAACAGCAGUAACCUUUAAGGGAUUGGCAAUGAGCAUCAAAUCCCAAUAUAACAAGUUACAAGGAAGUCGCAACUUUGCAUCUUUCACACCUGCAGGGGCAUUAUUGAGAGCAAUACUAAUGCCAGAGAGCGUCGACUUCUAGCAAAGAAGCAUGGGGCACGUUCAGAACAACAUCAGGGCCUCUGCAGUUCAUGCUUAGAAAAGCACACACAAUAUCGAUAGCAACUUGCUUAACAAUGGAAGAGGAUUUCUUCGCCUUCGCAUGAGAAUGCCCAAGAAUGUAUGCAAGCCCAGAUCCCCUAGCUUUCAGUAUCGGCAGAGACUCUUCUUUGGGAAGAGAGUUUCCCAACUGCUCAUCGCCAGAUUUCAUAACUUGGAUAUCAUGUGAAGACUGCAAUAUUCAACCCCAUUUCCCACUUCUGAUCCUCAAUAUAUGGGUUCAUGCCAUGUGUCUGAACAUAAUCGUAACGAAAGAGAGCAGCCUGUUCAAUUCAUCUCAUGGGUUUGGCACGGGUAAUAGUAGAUUAGAUAACAAGAGCGGGACAUUAACGAGGGCUGCUAAGCACAUCGACAGACACCCGAUUUCAAUGAAGGAAGUCACAUCUGCUGGUCCUAGGCUCUGCUCUUUUUGGAAAGAGGCUGGGAAGACGAUGAAAUUGAUGUCGCCACAGCCUAUGAAUCACCGGAGCUGUCAUAGCUGAGGGGUGCAUCAAAGAUGCCACUUGGACUGCUGGGCAGGGACAGAUACUUGCAUUUGCGGAUCUGGUUUUGGGUACGCCCAUGGCUACCCAAAAAUUCCAGGAUAAGUUUAUAGCAGUUAUCCACAUCGUCCUUCAGUUUUAUUGGAGCUGGACUUUCUCUUCUCACGGGCAUUUUCCUCAUGGGGACUCCCUAUCUGAUCUGUUGAUGCAGCUGCACUUUCUCUUCCUCUCAUCCUCAGAUGACAUCUCUUCUUUCAAAGGUAUCUCUUCUCUCAAAACCCGUAUAAUGAACAAGAUCCAGGAACAGAGGUGGCCUCAACCAUGAAAAGAAAUGCAUGAAAACAGAGCACAAAGGGAAACAAAUAAAAAGGUCCUCAAAGGAAGAUUCACAUCAUGAGUCAUCAGUGAACCUUCCUAUUAGGUGGGGAAAAACAGCAUCAAAUGCAAAUAUUGGUGGGGUUCCCGGGCAUUUCAUAGUCACAAAUAGAAGCAUAACAUGUUAAGAUUGACAAUGGCAGGUAUGAUUUCAGGAUUAUAUCUCAACAAGCAACAAGUGGCCUUCAUUAUCCACCCCAAGCAAAACAACAAAUAUCCAAAUAUCAACAAGCAAUGCAGAGAGAUAGCAAGGAUCCAAAAUAAAACAAUGUACCUGCUGCAUUCAUACCUGAGAGUGCCCUUCUCCGGUCAGGUUCUGUUCAGCUUCAAAACGACUCAAAAUCUCUGUUAAAAAGCCAUGAAAAACCUCCUCCUCUGCAGCCUCAAACCUCUCUGCUCCCUCUCUCUCUUGACCUCUAAGCCAAAGGAAAAUCCCCUCCAAAAUAUCUCUCCAUUUUCCUUCGCAAAAAGCACCACCCCUCCCGAGCUAAACUAUCCUCCUCUCUCUAAAAAAAAAUAUCUCUAACGGCAGCACUCCGGACCACCUCUCCCUGCUCUCUCCCAAAAAAACCAAACAAAAGCUCUCCCCCCUGCCAAAAAUCACCUGCAGCUGCCUAAAAUCUCCUCUCCACUACCAUGCAGCUGGCAACAAAAAAGCAUCCUCUUUUCAUACGCUUCUCCCAGCUUGCACUAAUGGCCAACAGAUUUUUUUCAGAAUCACCUUUAUAGGUGUCAACCCCUGAUUGCUCCUCCAACUCCACUAUUGUGAUUCUCUAGCAGCUAGUCAAAAUGUGACACGUGGCUUCCCCCAGAUGGUGACACCUGGCUAAAAGCAAGCUGCAGAAAAUGAGCCCCAAAUGGGGGUCUACAUGACUCUAUGUUUUUUACCUACUCAAUCUAAUCAGAUUCCACUAUAUUUGUGUUCAAUUGGGGAAUGGACUAAUGCUUUCACAACUUCUAUUAUUCAACUUGAAAAGACGAUAUUUCAACCUAUCAAUCAUAGAUCGAGAGAAAGAGAGAGAGAAAGAACCUAAGCGAGAUAGGUAGCUUGGGGAAUAAGUGGGGUUUCCUCAAAUAAGUUGGAAGAGUGAUCAUGUAGAACAUGUCUGCCCAGUCAAGUUUCUGCUCUUCAGAAACAACAAAGGCCUGUCCAAAUCCCUGUAGAUCUUCUGGCUGUUGCCAAAACUUCUUCUUCUCUUCCAUUGGGAGGUUGAAGAAUUCUUGUACCUCUACCUUUACUUUCUCCACCAAAGUAGAGAUCACUCCAUGAUUUGUCAACUGCAAUGAAUACAUUUAUGUUAUUAUUUACUUAAAGUUAUUAUGAUCUUUUGAAUUAAUUAUAUACUUAAAGCAAAUGAGAAUAAACAAUUAUAAAUUCAUAGAAUUAUCUAAUGUCUUAUUAUUUAAUUAUGUAAAAUUUGUUCCUUCAUGCAGUACUCUAAAGUGCAUACCACCAUCCCCCCUUCUCCAGUUUUUUUUCUUUUGUUGGAAACAGGGGAGGUUAACACACCAAGCAACAGAGAACAGAGAUAUGCUGCUACUGAUCUGAUCUUUUUAUUUGAUCAUAAGGCUGAAUUUAUACAGAUUGUGUAACAGAUAUGACCUCAAAAAAAGCAUCAAAUUAAGCUACUUGUUGAACAAACAACUACCUCCUACAAAAUAGCAUCAGAAUUUAACUUAAAAGCAAAAAACAUAAAAAUAGCAACAGCAAAAACAAAAACAUAAAAAUAGCUUCAGCAUUCUAGUAAUCUUGUUGACUUCAACUGCAUGUGGUUGACGAUUUCAGCCUUUCCCUCAGCAGCUACUAAGGCAUAACUCUCAACACUCCUCCUUGACUUAGGAGCUGCAAACUCCAAGUCUUUCUCGUAGAAACUCAAAUCUUAUUUUCGGAAGAGCUUUAGUCAGAAUAUCUGCAUUCUGACUUUCUGUAUUGCAGUAGACUAGCUGUAUAUCUCCUUCUUUCUGUACUUCCCUCAGAAAAUACAAUUUAAUCUUGAAGUGCUUUGUUUUACCAUGAAAAACUGGAUCAUUUGCAAUAGAUAUAGUGGCCUGGUUGUCUACAAACACCUUUGUACUUACUUCUUGCUUCAUAUCUAAAUCUGUCAACAACUUUCUAAGCCAUAAGGCUUGAUUUACAGCUGCAACAGCAACAAUAUACUCUGCCUCAGCUGUGGAAUGAGCCACGACUUCUUGCUUCCUUGAACUCCAUGAAAAAACACCAGAACCAAAGCUAAAACAAUAGCCUAAAGUACUUCUCAUAUCGUCAACACAACCAGCCCAAUCACUAUCAGAAAAUCCAUGAAAAUUGAAACUUUGAACUUGACUGAACUUAAUGCCAUAAUCCACAAUGCCUUUAACAUAUCUUAUCACACGCUUUGCUGCUUGGAAAUGAAUUUCACUAGCACAAUGCAUGUAUCUCGAAAGUAGACUUACAACAUGCAUUAUAUCGGGUCUUGUUGCAGUCAAGUACAUUAAGCAUCCAAUCAUGCUUCGAUAAAGUCCUUCAUCUACCUUUUCAGCACCAUCCUCCUUACAGAACUUCUCUUUCUGGUUCAUAGGGGUAGAUGUAGAUUUGCAUUCCUCCAUUUUGAAUUUCUUCAGAAUUUCUUUGGCAUAUUUUUGUUGGCAGAUGAAAAUCUCAUUCUGCUUCUGGUGUACUUCCAUUCCCAAGAAGUAAGACAUCUCACCUAGGUCUGUCAUCUCAAAGACCUGCUUCAUUUCAGCCUUGAAUUUGUUCACAAACCCUGCAUUACUUCCUGUUACAAGCAAAUCAUCAACAUAUAGAGAAACAAUUAAUAUAUCUUCUUCAAUCUUCUUAAUGUAGAGUGUAAAUUCACUUAAGCUCUUGUGAAAGCCUAAAGUUAGCAGGUGAGUGUCAAUCCUGCUGUACCAGGCUCUAGGGGCUUGUCUUAACCCAUACAAGGCCUUCUUAAGAAGGUAUACUUUUUCUUCUUUUCCUUUGAUAGCAAAACCUUCUAGUUGUUCGACAAAAAUCUCUUCCUCCAGGUAGCCAUUCAAAAAUGCUGACUUCACAUCUAGUUGAUAAAUCUUCCAUUUUCUUUGAGCUGCAAGAGCCAACAACAUCCUGAUUGUAUCCAAACGAGCUACUGGUGCAAAGGUUUCCGAAAAGUCAACACCAAACAUUUGUGCAUACCCUUUGACAACCAGCCUUGCUUUAUGCUUGUUUAUAGAACCAUCAGAGUUGAGUUUGGUUCUGUAAACCCACUUAACCCCAAUAGGUUUUUUGUGUGAAGGUCUAUCUACUAGCUCCCAAGUGUUGUUCUUGUCAAUCAUAUUUAGCUCCUCCUACAUUGCAACCCUCCAUCUUUUAUUUUCAGCAGUUUCAAAAAACCCUGCAGGUUCAAGAACAGCUAUAUUACACCUUUGAUAAAUAUCAAAAAGUGUCCUGAAACCUCUAACUGGAAGUUCAUCAACAUCUUCAUCAAUAUAUAGCUGAUUCUGCUCAUCCCAGCUCCAUUUCUCCGUUUCCAAAAACUUAACAUCUCUACUUACCACAAUUUUAUUAUUUUGUGGCAAGUAGAUUCUGUAAGCUUUUGAGGUGCUGCUGUAUCCAAUGAAAAUUCCUGGUUCUGACUUUUUAUCUAACUUGUCUCUUUUCACCUAAGGAACAUAAGAUAAACACUAGCAACCAAAGGUCUUUAAAUUCAUUAGCAUAGGCUUAUAACCAAACCAGGCCUCAAAAGGUGUCUGUUUUUGCAAUGCUUUUGUUGGUAGUCUAUUUAGCAAAAAUACUGUUGUAUUUGCAGCUUCAGCCCAGAAACUUUUUGGCAGCUCUUUCUCAUGCAAAAGACAUCUUGUCAUCUCCAUUAUUGUUCUAUUUUUUCUUUCCACCACCCCAUUUUGUUGUGGGGUGUAUGGUGUAGUGAGCUGGUGAUCUAUGCCUGCAUCUUCACAAAAUUUGUUGAAUUUUUCUGAAGUAUAUUCUGUACCAUUAUCCGACCUUAUAACCUUGAUUCUGUAUUCACUUUGAUUUUCAACCAUGGCUUUAUAUCUCAAAAACACAUCAGCAACCUCAGAUUUGUAAGUGAGAAAAUAAAUCCAACAAAAUCUUGUGAAGUCAUUAAUAAAUGCAAUAUAGUACUUACUCACUUUCAAAUAUGGUGUCUUUUGAGGUCCACUAACAUCUGUGUGAACCAAUUGUAGUUUCUGUGUUGAUUUCCAUGCUGCUUUUUGAGGAAAAGGAAGUCUUGUUUGCUUCCCAUAUUGACAGGCUGCACAUAUAGGAAGUUCUUCUUCCAAAUCAGGGAGUCCUUCUACAAUCUGAUUCUUCUUCAUGUAGAGCACGGCAUUGUGGUGGAAAUGCCCUAAUCUUUUAUGCCAAAGCAUUGUAUUGUUCUCAUGUUGUGCAGCAGCAAUUUGCUCAUCUUCUAACAUAUUCAAGGCAAAACUUUUGCCUUUCAUUUUUAUGUUGAACACCUCUCUGCCUUCAGCAUCCUUGAUUAUGCAAUUUUUGUCUUCAAAACAAACUUUAAACCCUUCUCAACAAGCUGUCCAACACUUAGCAGAUUUUGGUCAAUGUCAGGCACAAACAAAACAUCAGAAAUGAGCUUUAAACCUGUUAGGCUUUCAAUAGCUACUGUUCCUUUACCUUUUACUGGAAUAUACUCACCAUUUCCAAUUCUGACUUUGGAAAUAGCUGUCCUAUCAAUCUCCCUAAAGAGAUCUUGAUCAUAUGUCAUGUGGUUUGUGCAACCACUAUCCACGAGCCAGCUUUCAGAGGUGCUUCUGUUUGCAAAACAUGUUGCUGAAAAUAGUUGCUCCUCCUGGUAUUGUUCAGCUGCUACAUUGGUUUCUCCCUGCUGCUGUUGAAUUCUACAGAUCCUUUAUAUGUGUCCCUGUCUACCACAUUUGUUGCAUUUCACAUCUGGUCUCCACCAACAUUUUUGUUGAGGAUGAUUUGUUUUCUUGCAAUAAGGACGGGGUGGAUAGGUUCCAGUUUUUUUAUUGUUGUUGUUGCUUAGCUUAUUGUUGUUCUUUUUGUUCUUCAUCCUUCUUGUGUUGCCUUCAUUGGUCUGUGUCUUUGCUUGAAAAGCUCCUUCUACAGAACUUCCUUACCUCAUGAGUCUUCUUUGUUCCAAAGCUUGUAAAGCAUUUAGUAGUUCUGCCAAGGUGAUACUUGACAAAUCUUUUGUGUUUUCCAAAAAAGAAAUUGUAGCUUCAUAUUUUUCAGGAAGUGUGACAAAAAAUUUUUGAACAACUCUUUCAUCAGAAAACUCUUUACCUAGCAACCUCACCUUGUUUGCUAUGGUAAGAAGUUGUUCUGCAUAAUCUUUUAUGGUUUGAGACUCCUUCAUCCUCACCAUUUCAAAUUCUCGAAUUAGAUUCAUCACCUGCAUAUUUCUGACUCUUUCAUUGCCUUGAUAUUCUUCCCGUAGAUGCUUCUAGAUUUCUGCAGCAGAUUCAAGUUGCAUGAUUCUGGUGAGAAUUAAUGGUGAGACUGCAGAAAAUAAGCAAGCCUUGGCCUUGGCCUUCCUCGUCUUUUUCUCCUUAUGGUUUUUCAUCUGUGCCACAGUUGGAUUGGCUCCAAGUGGAGAAAUUUCAUAAUCUUCCUCUAUUGCUUCCCAGACAUCAAGAGCCUGUAGAUGAACAGUCAUCCUGAUAGCCCAAGUUUGGUAAUUUUCUCUAUUGAAGACUGGUGGUGCUGCUAUGAAGCUUGCUUCUUCCAUUUCUGCAAGGUUUUCAGAAGGUUUUCAGAUACAGGUUUGAUAUACAGUGUUUAGGCUCACACACCUCACUGGUCCCUCAAGACAAAAAUGCUCUGAUACCAAACUGUUGGAAACAGGGGAGGUUAACACACCAAGCAACAGAGAACAGAGAUAUGCUGCUACUGAUCUGAUCUUUUUAUUUGAUCAUAAGGCUGAAUUUAUACAGAUUGUGUAACAGAUAUGACCUCAAAAAAAGCAUCAAAUUAAGCUACUUGUUGAACAAACAACUACCUCCUACAAAAUAGCAUCAGAAUUUAACUUAAAAGCAAAAAACAUAAAAAUAGCAACAGCAAAAACAAAAACAUAAAAAUAGCUUCAGCAUUCUAGUAAUCUUGUUGACUUCAAUUGCAUGUGGUUGACGAUUUCAGCCUUUCCCUCAGCAGCUACUAAGGCAUAACUCUCAACAUCUUUGCUUUUAAGUGUGCAGUUUGGUCGUGAUUUUAUACAAGUAAAUUGGUUCCAUACCUGGAAGAAACCCCACUCUUUGCAAGCGUAGUGCAACUUGUCCAGCUCUGAAUCCAUGGAAUCUCCGGAAACCAAGCGGUUAAAGUCGAUGACUGGGGCAUGGAUUGAAGAACAAGUAGUGCUAGAAUCGGAUAAGAAUGGAGGGUCUUGCUCAGGACGCAGGUACCGUGGUGGAACUGUGGUGAGCGUCUUCUUUGCUAGCUCCUGAACACAAGGCA